UCUCUCUCUCUCUCUCUCUCUCUCUCUAUAUAUAUAUAUAUAUAAUUAGGCUACUAUACUAUCUAUAGUACGGGAGCUCCCGUACUAUAGUGUUGUUUUCGAUCUUAGGGCAUUCAAAUCAACGAUCCACACCGUUAAAUAUGAUCUAGGGUAUAUGAAAUUCUUAGAAAUAAAAUUUUAGUUCUUUUCAAUAUCGUUUACUUAGUAAAUAAAUUAUGUCAAAAUGGACGGUGGGAAUUGAAUACUCUUUAAAAUUUGAGCAUAGGACUUUUAAAUUCAAGAUCAAGAAUGUUAAUCUUAAUCUAUAUAGUUUAAAGAAUUUUCUAUCAAAAUUUGAAGAAAUUUAGAUUCUUCUACACCGUUAAACUCCAAACUCGUCAUAAUAGUCUUUGAAAAUUGACAAUUUUGAAAUAGUUUGAUCAUAAAGUAAACUUUGUCGAAAAAAUAUAAAAUUUUACUUCUAGAAACUUUAAAUANAAACGGUCUAUAGCGACACUUUUAAAUGUAGGUACAUGUCAAAAAAGUGCCGCUAGCUAAAAUUACCGACACUUUUAAAAGUGUUGCUAUAUGUGGGGUCGCUAAGUAUAUAGUGACAGUUAAAGAGUGUCGCUAUAACCUAAAAAGUGCUGCUAAUUUACCAACACUUAUUUAAGCAUUUAGCAACCGCCGAAACUCUAUCUCGUUGGCUGCGGUGGCGGAGGAGGACGACAGGAAAGGCUUUUCGUCUAGAAUUUCAAUGAAUUGAGUGAAGAGAGAAGAAAAGAUGGUAAUUGAUUUUUCUUUUUUUUUUCUUUUCUGUUUGUAAUCGGGCCAAAUGAACUGGGUGUGGUGGGUUGAGUAGAGUAAUCUUUUAUUUUUAAUUGGAUUGGGCUUUAUAUUUAGGCAUUAGUAAAUAUUUUUUAAGUUUUAGCAUAAAUGAAACACUUACUCAAAAGUGUCCCAAACAUGUGUCCCUAUAACCUAAUUCUGUUGUAGUGUGAAAAUGAUCCAAAGGGUAGAUCCAACGGCAGAAAACUUGGUAGCACUAAAUACUUCGUGCUAUUAAUAACAUAGUAGCCGGACUCUACAUAUAUAUAUAUAUAGAAUUAGGCUACUAGACUAUCUAUAGAACCGGAGCCCCAGUACUAUAGUCUUGUUUUCGAUUUUAGAGUAUUCAAAUUAACGAUCCACACCGUUAAAUAUGAUUUAGGAUAUAUGAAGUUCUUAGGAAUAAAAUUUUAGUUUUUUUCGACAUCGUUUACUUAGUAAAUAAAAUUAUGUCAAAAUAGAAGGUGGAAAUUGAAUAAUUUUUAAAAUUUGAGUAUAGGACUUUUAAAUUCAAGAUCAAGAAUAUUAACCUUAAUCUAGAUAGUUUAAAAUAUUUUCUAUCAAAAUUUGAAAAAAUUUAGAUUCUUCUACACCGUUAAACUCCAAACUCGCCAUAGUAGCCAUUGAAAAUUGACAAUUUUGAAAUGGUUUGAUCAUAAAGUAAACUAUGUCGAAAAAAUACAAAAUUUUAUUUCUAAAAACUUUAAAUACUCUAGAUCAGUUUUAACGGUGUGGAUCGUUGAUUUGAAUACCCUAAAAUCGAAAACGAGACUAUAGUACCUGAGCUCCGGUACUAUAGAUAGUACAGAAGACUAGCUAUAUAUAUAGAGAGAGAGAGAGGGAGAGAGUAAGGCUACUAUGCUUCUGUAAAUACGGAGUCUUCCGUGCUUUCAGAUCAUUUUUCAUGUUGCGACUUUCGAAUCGUCGAUCGGCUCCGUUAAACUUGAUCUAGAGUAUUUGAAGUACCUAGAAAAUAAACUAUACGAUUUUUCGAUAUUAUUUGUCUAGUGAACGAAGGGGUUCAAAAUCAACGGCUGAAAAUAAAAAUCUUACAAAACGUAAUAAUAUGACAUUAAAAUUUUAGAUCAAAGAUAUUGAUCUUGUUUUAUAUAGUAUAAAGAAUUUUCUAUCAAAAUUUCACGGGAUUUGAAUAUUUCUACACCAUUAAACUUGCAAACGGCUCACUACGGCCAUUAAAAUUAUUGAUUUUGAGCCCCUUCGAUCACUAGGCAAAUAAUAUCGAAAAAUCAUAAAAUUUAUUUUCUAGAUACUUCAAAUACUCUAGAUCAAGUUUAACGGAGCCGAUCGACGAUUCGAAAGUCGCAACAUCGAAAACGAUCUGAAAGCACGGAAGGCUCCGUGCUUCCAAAAGCAUAGUAGCCUCAUAUAUAGUAGAGUUACUAUGCUAUUGGAAGCAUAGGGGAUUUAGUGCUUCUGACUUUUUGGCUCUUAGAUCAACUUCUUUGAUCAUUUCUAACCUUUGGAUUAAUACACCACUCAACCCUAGGGGUACUACUAAACCCUAGGAGGGACCGCAAUCAUCUCAACCGUAUAUUUCUUGAUCUAAGGAUCAGAAAGUUGGAAGUAUAAAACCCUCUAUACUUCCAAUAGCAUAGUAGCUCUACUACACUAUAUAUAUAUAUGAACAAACUAUCCUUUUUAUCAUUUGUUGUGAAGACGAGGAGCACAUGCUGUUGGCUUAAAUGGGCUAGCAUCCUGCCCUGUGGCAGGAGGCCAUGUGGGCCAAGUCAUGUUCGAAAUGGCGUGAGGCUGGGUGGGCCGAGUCAUGUUCGAAGUGGCGUGAGGUUGGUUGAACCGAGUCACAAUCGAGACCCGUGGGCUCUAUAUCUGUACGCUUUAAGUGAAUUGGUUGCAUAUUUCUAACAGCUCGAAUUUUUGGGAUUAAUGGUUAGCGCUAACGAUCCGACGCAUGCAUGUGUUGCAAAUUCUGGUCUAGUUGAGUUACAUAUAUAUACAGAGGCUCGAGAGCAAAGUAAAUGCGCAGAAGUGGUGAUUAAGUUUAACAAUGAGGCCCAUUUAGGGCUUUUAAUAUUUUAUCUUCCAAUACUGUAAAAUUAUAAUGACAAUCCCCGCAAAAGAUACAUGCAAACAAACUUCAUCCUGAGAUUGGAAGUGCCUCUGAUGGAGAGAAUAAUUGAAAGCGUUUUUUAAAGUUUGUGAGAGUAGGCUUGAAAAUAUUUUGUUACGAAUUAAAAUUUGUUAAUAUCAUUUUUCGGGAUUGUUUACUUGUAGAUCGAUCUAUUUGGUGAACCCUUUGGUUUCAAUAGGUUUUGGGUUAAUUAUAUUCACAUAGCAUUAAAAUUUUCCUCCUAUUCUUUUACCUCUCCUACUAGUUUAAUUAAAUGGCAUGGUUAACUUUAUCUCCAUUAGGAUAAAUAUAAUUUACUGUUGUACUACAUAUUUAUACACAUAAUAAAUUAAUACGAUACUGUUUUAUUAUAUAUAUAUAAUAAAUUAAUAUAAUCUGUAAUUUUUUUAUUUUUUUAUCAUUAGACAUGAUUUUUUUAUUUUUUUAUUUUAAAUUUUUUUAUUCUUAUAUUAUUUUUUUUAUAAUUUUUGUAGUCUUAUUGAAAAAAUAAAAAAACAUAUCACUACUUACGUUCUCCUCAACUAAUUCUUUUAUUUGGUGCAAUAGCAUUAGGUCACUUCCAAAUACCAAGUGAAUAUAUGUUUUCAAUAAGCAUAUCAGAACAGAGAAACUAUAGCAUUUCCAGUAACCAUCUAAGAGUCCCUUUGUUACUAAGGCUUCAUAGAAUUAUAGCACUUGAAGCUAGUUUUAGCUUAAAAAUGUAUAGAACUUAUCUGAUCAACUAUCCAGCCUUUUAAAAUUUUGAUGUUGACACAUAAUCUUUCAAUUUAUUUGAUUUGAAUUAGUGAAUAGCACUUUAAUUCAAAAUUUGACAGCGUCAUUUAUCUUUACAAAUUUAAUUAUAGUNAUAUUUAUACACAUAAUAAAUUAAUACGAUACUGUUUUAUUAUAUAUAUAUAAUAAAUUAAUAUAAUCUGUAAUUUUUUUAUUUUUUUAUCAUUAGACAUGAUUUUUUUAUUUUAAAUUUUUUUAUUCUUAUAUUAUUUUUUUUAUAAUUUUUGUAGUCUUAUUGAAAAAUAAAAAAACAUAUCACUACUUACGUUCUCCUCAACUAAUUCUUUUAUUUGGUGCAAUAGCAUUAGGUCACUUCCAAAUACCAAGUGAAUAUAUGUUUUCAAUAUGCAUAUCAGAACAGAGAAACUAUAGCAUUUCCAGUAACCAUCUAAGAGUCCCUUUGUUAUUGAGGCUUCAUAGAAUUAUUAUAGCACUUGAAGCUACUUUUAGCUUAAAAACGUAUAGAACUUAUCCGAUCGUCUAUCCAGCCUUUUAAAAUUUUAAUGUUGACACAUAAUCUUUCAAUUUAUUUGAUUUGAAUUAGUGAAUAGCAUUUUAAUUCAGAAUUUGACAGCGUCAUUUAUCUUUACAAAUUUAAUUAUAAUAUUUCAUGCAAUUCUUAUAACUAUAAAUUUAUUAAAGUUAGUAAUUAAUUAAAAUUUUAAAUUUUACUCAAAUAGAUUGAAAGGUUGAAUAGUAAAAUCAAAAUUUUGAAAGGUUGGAUAAUUAGGUCAAAAUGGUCAAUAAUUCACGUAAACGCUGUACAUUUUUACCCUAUUUUUUUUAAUUUGUUCUUUGAACUUUCAACAUCAACAAAGAGACCUUGAACUCAAUAGUUUCCCUUUAGUCCCGAGCUCUUUUAGAAAGCAAAUUAUUGCAGACACUUAUAUAUAUAGUACUGAAGUUUUGAAUUUUGAAUGUCGAAUUUAAAAGAUUGAGAACAAAAAGAUUACAGAAACUAAUAUUGCAAUUUUUCCAAUCUUGGUGAAAGGAUAAAACUGAAUCCAUGAAGAGACAAAAUUAAUGCAAGACCUUGAAUUACAAGGUAGUACAGUGGAAAUACUAUCAUGUGAGACCUUUAAUGUUAUUUCCAAAUGGAAAAGGACAUAAUAUUGGUGAGGAAUGCUUUAAAUAAUGUGAUACAAUCAAUUUAUCCAAAAGAGUUAAGCUAUAACGUUAAAUAAUUCAAAAUUAUUUUCUUCAAAAGUUUAAACUCGUAAAGAAUGGUAUUUUUAUUUUUAUUUUUAUAUUUAAUGCUCAUCCUCACAUCUGAGCUCGAGACUUUUUUAUAGUCACAUGAUAUGAAUUUCAAUUAAAUGAAAGAAUAUGAUUUUGGAGAACAUGGCUUAAGUUUUUGGAGAAAACAAGUGUUUCGCAUAAUUUAAGAUACAAGAUAAUUAAUGAUGUUUUAAUAUUCAUAUUGAUAAUAUGUUAAACAAUGUGAAACAAUAGAAGAAAAUGAUAUUUUUAAUAUUUAUAUUGAAAAAAUAUUAAAUAAUGUGAAAUAAUGGAUAUUCCCAAAAACUUAAGCUACCAAGAAAUAAUAUUUUUAAUAUUAUUAUAUAUAUAUAUAUAGUAUAUAUUAUAUAUAUAUAUAUAUAAUAUAUAUAUAUAUAUAUUAUAUAUAUUAUAGUAUUAUAUAUAUAUAUAAAGUAAGAGUUAGUUAUGCUAUCGGAAGUAAAAAUAGUUGGUGCUUCCGAUUUUUUAGGACCCUUAGAUCAACUUCUCAUUAUAAUUUCUAAACUUAUUGAUUAUAUUAUUAACCAAUGGGGACCACUUAACCUAGGGGGACCACUCAAAUCUAAGGGGGGCACGUAUUAUCCAACCAUAUGAAUCUUUGAUUCCAAGGGCUAAAAAUCAGAAGCACAACUCUUUAUGCUUCCGAUAGCAUAAUAGCUCUACAAUAUAUAUAUAUAUAUAUGUAUUAUAUAUAAUAUAUAUAUAUACAUAUAUAUAAUAUAUAUAUAUAUAUAUAUAUAUAUUAUAAUAUAUUAUCUCUUAAAUAACCGAAAUAACUAAUUUCUUGAGAAGUUUAAACUACUCGAUAAAAAUAUGUUUAAUAAAUUUAUAUUCAAGGGAUUAAGGGCCUCAUUUGGCUCGGGGUUAAAGUGAGAACAACGAAAGUUAUUCCUGCUAUUCCACCAGGCAGGAUAUAUUUUGGUAAGGAUAAAAUAAUUCAGUCAAACCUUGCUAUUUUCGAUUAAUCCAGAAUAGUUUGGGAUAAAUAAUUCCACCCUUUUAGUGGAUGAUUGCUAUUACAAGACUUAAUUUCAAGCUUAUUUACUGAAUUAAAAUAAAUUAUAUGGACAUGAUAUAUAUAUUACAUCUUAUAAUAAAUUAUUUUUAUUGUAAAAAUUAUUAUAUGUAUUAUAUUAAUACAUAUUAAUAUUAUUUGUACUUAAAUAUUAUAAUAAAUUUUAAUUAAAUAUGUUACUAAAUUAUUUUUAUUAAAUUUGUGUUUAAGUGGAAUUUGAAAAAAAAAAAAGUAUUAUAUUUCAAAUAUUUUUUACAUAGCACAUAAAGGUGUCCAAAAUAUCCGAUAUCCCAUACCCGACCCGGACCCUAUCCGGACCCGAACCGAACCCGAUAAAAAAUGAGUAAUAUACGGAUAAAAAAAAUUACCCAUUAAAGUUUCGGGUAUGGGUCCGGAUAUUUUAUACCCAUACUCGAUUUGGACCCGACCCAAACCUAACUUUUAAAUGGGUAGGGUCCGGAAUAGUUUUCAAAUCCGGACCUGGACCCGGACCCGAUGAAAUAUCCGAUAGUAAAUAAAAAAAAAAAAAACUUUUGAAGUUGAAGAAUCAAUUUUAAUAUGACUUAUAGAUGUUGAGUCACUACGUAUUUUCAUCCUAAUGAAACCCUAGCCGUCUCUUUUACUCAUUACUUUUUUCUAAUUUUUUUACUCUUUGUUUUCUACUUCUUUUUUUCAUUUCAUUUCCGUCAACAAUAUUUCAUUGUCAUCAUCAUCAUCAGUGUCAUCAUCAUCAUCAGCGACAAUAUUUCUUUUGAAUGAAUUUUAUUGGACGGUAAAACUUAUUAGAAUGCGAGUAUUUUUAUGGUGGGCUUUAUAGUUUGUCUAUUGACUAUUUAAUAAAGUUUAUAAAAAAAAUAUAUUUAUACGGAUAUUCGUAUCCGAUCUAGACCCGAUCCAUAUCCGGUCUUGAACGGGUAGUAUACGGGUAGUCACUACCCAGACCCGCUCAAAUAGACCCGAUGGGUAUAUUAGUAAUUUUAGUACCCAGAUCCGAACCCGACACGAAAUUAAAUGGGUAGGGUAUAUAUAUUUUUUGUAAUCAUUUCUUUUUAGGGUAUGGGUAUAGUAUAUUAAUUAUCCGGACCCGACCCGGUCCACGGACAUCUUUAAUAGCACAUUAUAUUAUAUAAUAUAAUUUAUUGCAAACUAUUAAUCAUAUUUUAUAUUAAAUUCAAUAGUCACUUUUUUUUUUUUACUUUUUCACUAUUCUAUAAAAUUAACCAAACAUAAUUUUAAUCUUGUUAACUAUACCAAAAUGAUAAACUAUUUGGAAAGGAAAAGAUCAUUUUAAUGCUCGUUAUUUUCGAAUCAAACAAAACGGGCCCUGAGACAAUAAAUGUGUUGUGGGAAUUUAAGGAAAUGAAAAAAAAAAGAAAAAGAAAAAAAUGAGCUGUCCAAAGAGAGUACGAAGAGAGAGAGAGAGAGAGAGAGAGGGAGAGAGAGAGAGAGAGAGAGAGAGAGAGAGAGAGAGAUAUGGAGAGGAUGGGGUUGAGAUUUGAAUCAUGCACUGCCAUGUGCAGUGUUCGCUUGCCCACGCUUUGUCUCUCCACGCUAUCACAUGCAGUCAUGCUACUCUUGUGUCUCCUCCCCUUUCCCUUUCCAUUCUCUCUCUCUCUCUCUCUCUAAUAUAUUCCCUUUUUCUUUUUUUCCUUUCCUUUUUCUUUUCUUUUUUUGGAUAAUUGUCUAUGUAUCUAUCAAAAUUUUUGAAAUAUUUUAUUUAUUCAUACUUUUUUUAUUUCAAAUAUGCAUCUUAUAUGUUUCUCCGUUAUUCGAAAAUACUCCUUCUAUUAGUAUUCGUUAAGUCAUUUCGAAUUAAAUCUGAAUUAAAUUUCUAUCAUAGUGAAAAAAAUAAUAAAAUACCUGUUUUACUCCUAUAAAACUUACAAAUAAAAAAAGAUUGUUAAGGAUAGAAGGAUAUAUUUGAAGGAACAAAGUGUCAGAAUAUUUGUCUUGCCCCUAACUUAAGGACCAAUUAAAAAAAAUUGAUAAUAGUAAAAAAAGUAUAGUUAAAAAGGUAAAAUUAUAAUUUCAUAAAAAUAACGUUGUUCCUGAUAGCUUACUAUCAGAAUUUAAUUUUAAGAAUAUAUUUAAAACUUUUAAAAUCUUAAAUAAAAAUUUUUAAUAUUAGUCUUCUAAAAAGAAUAAAUAAGAAAAUGGGAAACUUCUCAGUAUAUAUAAGAUUCCUUUUUUUGUGCGUUGAUGUGAGAUCAUUUUUUUCUAUCUUGUCCGUGCAGCUUCUUGGCGCUUUGUGUAGUAAUAAGGUGUCGGGUGUCCUUUUCGGCCUAUUGCUUUUGCCUCCACCGGUGGAGGAGUGGGAUUUGCUAAGGAGGUUUCAACAUGGAAUAAAGAGGAACAGUAAGGACUAUUUUGUAGAUUUUUUUGGGUGUUUUGGUAGAUUUGAAAAGAAUACUGGUCUGGUAAAGUUUAGGAGACAAAGUGGUACGUACGGUCUCACAUAUUAUUUCGUCAUUCGGUAAAAUUUCACUUACAUUCUGCAAUUUGUUAGCCUCUUCUGAUUAAAAAAAAUUCGGAGCCUAGUCUCGUACCAUGUUAGCUUGAAAAUUAAUAUUAUUGCGAGACUUCAUAGAACGUAUCUUUCCAUACAGUCUGCUAAAAUAACUGAAAGAUAGAAAUGAUGCACAAAGUGAAACUGUUUUAUCUGCCAUUUAUAAAAUAAUGAUAGAUAAGAAUCAUAAGAUGAUCUUAUGUUGAAGAUAUUUCCCCACCGGUCUUAACUAGGACUGGAUUAAGGUUGGUUGUUGCACUUCAUAACAUCAAAGUAGGCUUCAUAAUAGCAAUUUGCAAACUCUCUAAACAACCAUGUGGAUGUGGCACACAAUACUGUUCUAGUCCUGUAGCAAAUUUACUCUCCUUUUUAGGCCUACACAUUCCUCUUUUACAGCUCACACAAACCACAAACAUAUCAGAGCAAAAAGGAUUUAACGCUGCAGUACUUUGGUGCAACAGUGCCAGAACAGUACUUGGGUACAAAGGUAUCGUUUGCUUUUCAGUGCAUGUGAUAUAUACAGCCGAUAAUAUACAGCCGAUAAGAAUGAAAAGGAGAGGGAAAAAAAUAGAGAGGAGAGAGAGAUAAAUAAGAGGAGCUGAGAGGAGUAAAAACAGGAACAAAAUUCUUAACAACAUAUAUAGUAGUUUCCUGAUUAUAAAAGAAAGCUUAAAAGCCUACAUAUAGACUCUUUACACUAAUCCAACACCUAAAAAUUAGAAAUCUUUUGAAAACACUAGAUUCGAUCUAAUCUAUACUAGCCUAAUUAUUGAUUUAUUUCCAAUCAACUGGCUAAAAUAAACACCAAAAAUAUAAGAAAUCAAAUGACGUGAUCCCGGCCUGGAUUGAAGUGCAUCAUUAACCCUUUAUGCAGCUUCUAAAUUUGAGGUUUGAUACUUCCAUGUAAGGAUUUAGGUAUUGUGACACGGAGGUACUGGUAUAUGCUGAUCAUAAAAAAUAUAUGUAUACCAACAAAUUUUUCCAACCUUUGUUUUUUUUUUUUGCACCUAUAUAUUCUAGUUGCUUAAUUGUAUAUCUUUAUCAAACGUUUUUAUACUUUAUUGAGAUGGCUAUUUACUAAUUUCAAAGAAAAAAAGUUUUAAACUACACACCCGCAUGAGGGCCGUACCAUGCGGAUACUUUGUUGAUACGAUAUGGCACAAUAUGCAUGCACCAUAUUGAUGAAAACUUAAAUCCUUACUUCUAUGUCACCUUACUAACUGCCUAUGGACAUAAAGUAAGACAACAAGAAUUUCCAAAUGACUUAAUAUGUGGAAUCCUAGAUGAUUUGUAUACUGAGAGUAUGUUUGGUUCAUGAUUAGAAUGAGAAUGAGAAAUGAAAUUAGUUUGAACUAAAAUGGCAAAGGGAAUGAAAAAUCAUUCAAAAUUGUUUGGUGCGUCAAAUUAGAGACACAAAUUGUGUAGCUAAUAAUAGCCAUCAUAGCAACCAAUGUUUUUUUUGCUCACAAAGGGAUUUCCUGCUGUUCAAAGAACUACCUGAUAAGUUAUACAUUAAAAAAAAAAACCAGAAUAAAGAAGCAGAUCUUGUAGUCUGCUGCUAAAUGCAACAUACCAGCAAUAUAUUGCCAGCUUCCCAGUCACUACCAAGUUAAUAGCAUCAAGAUUUCUGGAAUCCUAAGGAAAAGUAGUUUUCUAGCAAAGACACAGAGUAUUCCUGUACCAUCUGCAAUUCCCUGGGUUCAUAUAAAUCAUCAUGAAUAUAUUCAAACAAUAUGCACAAAGAAGUUGCUCUCAUGACUAAGGCUUCGCUUGGUAUCGAGGCAUAUCUAACAUUAUUAGAUAAAAUGGAGUUAGGAUAAAAACAUAUAAAUAUAUACUUCUGCAUUCUCAGGUGGGAUCGCAGAAAAUAUAUCAUAACUGACUCAUCGCAACAUACAGAACACUAUAUUACGUAUGGAAACAAACAGAUAUUUUUCCAUCGUACUUUCUCACCGCACGUAAUGCAAUCUCCCCGCAAUCCCAAACGAAGCCUAAGAAGCACAUUACGGCACAUGUAAUCAUGUCAAGAUGGCUGUAUUUAUGUUUGUCUUUCCUCUCCAACACUCUAUGCAUUAUUUUGUUAAUAGGAACUAAAGACAAAAAGAAGCACCACCUCUUGUAGCGAGUAGCGACAUUGAAAUUAGUACGCAAACAGAACUAUUGCAUUAGAUUAACAAAUUAGAUAUUUUUCCCUAGUCAAACUCUAUAGACAAGAUACCUACACUCGACUAUUCCACACUGCAUAAGUCCACACAACAUAAUUGUACUGCACAAUUUACCAGUGGAACUCCAAUAAAGAUUGAUUAUCGUACAACAUUCCACGAAAACUUAAUUAUUCAAGACUAUGUACCAGUAAAAAUCUCCUAUCAAUCUCAUAAACAAGAUAGAUAAAAGCACAAAUUAUAAAAAGCUGGGACACUUUACUUGGCAGAGGCGAUGAAUGUAUGAUAUAAAAAGUAAUGUGUCUACUUAUUUAAGUCAUAAUUGAUAGUCAUAAUUGAUAGAAAGCGUUUUGUGACAUUGAAUAGCUUUCUAGUUCAAGUAUCAAACAACAAGAUGAACGGGCGAUGGAUGCCCAACUUACAAAAUUUUCUAAUACACAUUGUGGGUGAUAUAGAUAAUACUAAAUGAUCUGGAUUUUAAAUUUAUAAUUUUCAUAUUUGAAUUUUGAGCUACACAUAAACACUCUAGAUUAUAUAGUAAUCAUUCAAAAGGACAAGAAGAAAACAGAAAAACAAACCCAUAACAAAUAGAUGGGACUCUGCUUAUCAGUUGUUUAUGAAUAUUUAUUUUCCGAGUUUGCAUUUCAUAUAGUGAAGCAAAACUAUCAUGAAAACUAGAAAUUAAAUAUAUUUUCACUUGCUUCAUUGAGUAAUUGCACAUUGAUAGCUUUUACUUCAAAUUAAAAGUUUAUGCAUAUUAUGAUGUCCUCUAAAACGGCAUUUCAUGUAAAGACAAUAUUCCUAAUUUGAUGAUAGUAAACAUCUCUGUUUUUCUCUUUCAAAUGAUAUAUUUGUCCAUUUAAGUGUACAUGUUAACGAAUACUAACAACAGGAUAAACAAUUUGUCCUACAUUUUCUAGAUAUCUUGGUCAUGUAGUGAUAAAUAUUCUCAAUAUAUAAAUGCAAACUGUUCUUCAAGUGACAUGUCAUUUAAUAUUUUUUACACAAUCUUGAGAGAGAUUAUUAUACAAGUACCAAGGUAAUGAGUCGAAGAAUUUACUAAGAUUGCCAAUAAAGACCUUAAAAUUGAGAUCUAUUGCUAUUAUAUUGUAUAUAAGAUAAGAAGGCUAAACCAUUUCCCCUUGAAUAAUACAGUAAGGGAAAAGGUUUUAGUCACAGAAGGCAUGAUCAUAAAAAGUAUAGAAACCAUUUCAACCAAUAUUUAACAAAAGCAACCUGGCAGGGGUAUUUGCACAAUUUUUGCAUAUUUAAAGGGUACAUAUAUGCAAAAGCGCAUAAAUAAAAUUAUAGUCACUUUUACUGACCGAUAAAGAAAAUGUCUUGUCAAUGGCACCAUCUGAAUGAAUUUAGACAUCUUUACAUCCAAGAACACUUGCAUCCUACUACUGGAAGCUGAAUAAGCAUUUGCUUAUCUCAUUAACACAGUUAAAAGUAAGUCACAAAAAACACUAACGAAAACUUGUCAACGAACCAAGCCUUAGAAUAGUAACAGCACAUUGUAAGACACUAAAUUAUCAAACUUUUUGCUUUCAUAUAUAGAAGUAUGUAAAUACAUGCAUAUUUCUAUUUCCUAGCCUAGAUGAGAAAACAAAACGAGUAUGCCGAAGUAUGCUAUGCACAAUUUGUCCGCCAGAAGUAUGAACAAAUGAGAGAGUCAGUCAUUGUUACUGGAUCCUCUUACCUUCUCAGAAAGAAUUUUAAGUUCCCGAUCAAGAUCGACCAAUUUUCUAGCCAAAUUUGUAAACCAGUCAACAUAUCCCGCAAAUUUCAAACACCAAACUCUCUGAAAAUCAUUGAUCAUCUCUGAAGCCACCAAACAAAGUUCAUGUUUGCCCAUCAAACGUUUCUUCUCCAACUCAAAAUUACAAAGAACCAUCCCAUCAGACCUACUACUAUCAAUGUGUUGAGGCCUGCCAUUCUUCAGAAGCUGUUUUCUAUACUCAUCAAAUCCAUUCUUCUCAUCCUUUAAAGCUUUUCUGUAAUCAUUAACCAAACAGCGCAUAGCUCUGAGAUCAUGCUCGAAUUGAAACUUGUCUUGUCGUCUCUUCUUUAGAUCUUCUACCCUGGCUUUCUCCAUAGAUUGGAUGAUGAGAUCCUUUUCCGCAAUCGAUCGCUUAAGGUGUUGAAGUUCCGAUUGGGCAUUUAUGCAUGCUUGAUUCCUUUCAAAGGACAUCAUCUUCAUCCUUCGCAUCCAAUCCUGGACUUGUUCCGUGUAAGCAUUGAAAUCAAAUGGUAAAUGAUUCGAACUGCCGAAACACUGCAUGCUGUUCUGCCUCCGAGUACGAUCAACGAAAUGUGCGUCAUUGCCGCCACCGCCGCUGCUGCCGCCACCACCAGUGUCACGACCAUCACGGACACCAUCGACAUUGUCGUCAUCAUCAUCAUCAUCAUCAUCAUCAUCAUCAUCAUCAUCAAUUUCUACAAUUUCCCUCUCACAACUACUUACAACCAAGUGGGAACCAUUAAAGCCAUGAUCCCUCAAAACAGAAAAAUCUCCCGAAUUCAGUGCGAGGGAUUUCGGAUAAAGGCCACGAGUGUUACAAUCUCGCUCUACAUCAACAAGAUGAUGAUUCCUAAAAAUGUAUCCCUCAGAGGAAGAAACCCUUACCCCUCGGCGAUCGCCGCACCUCUCCUCCACCGCAACCUCCCCGUCUCCUCCCUCAUCGCUCGAAUCCUCCACAUCCACAACCAAAACCGCAUCCUCGCUGCAGCGCCGGAGGAGGCAGGGGCGCUUAUCGGGGACGGAGGAGGGGAAGGGGUUCUUCCUCUUGGGGGGUUCGUAUACACUUUGAUGCGCCAUUAAUGGUGGGUUCGAACGUGGGUUCGACUAUCGUAGUUGGAGACAUGGGGAAGACAAAGAGGAAUCGGAGGGGGAGAAUGAGAAAGUGAAACGAUUUUUAGGGUUUAUGAGGGGACGGGGGAGAAGGAAAGGGAGCGUGCUUUUCAUGGUUCGAAGAGGAGGGGAGGGAAAAGGAAAACACGAAAGUCACGUUUUGUGUAGGAACAAAUUUUGGAGAUGGCCUUUUUUAAAAAAAAAAAUUGAAUAGAAGCCGUAAAAAUUUCAGUUCGGUUCGGCUCUGUUCGAUUCGUUUUUAGUGGCAUGGAACUGAACAAAUCACGAAAUCUAAUUUGAUCUUAUUUGGUUCGGUUUGAUUUUAAUAGUAAAUAAUUUGAUUUUAGUUUAAAAAUAUCAUUAGAUCAAAAUUUUCAGAUUAGUUUUGGAUUCAAAAACUGAAAAACCAGCUCAAACCGCCCAGAAAACGAAGACUGCGCAGGCCGGCCCGGGCACCCGUAGCCACAUCGGGCCGAGGAAGGCCCGCACCCCCCACUGCGAGAACAUUACGGGCCGGGGUGGGCCCAUAAGCCCGCAGAGGAGAAGGCCGGCCCGGGCUUAUAAGCCGUCAGAGGGGCAGGCCGGGCCGGGCCUAUGUGCCCGCCGCCUGUCAGGCCGGGCCAGCUCUCUCCCUGCUGGGCAGGCCGGGCCGCCAAGCCUGCAGCAGGCCGGGCCUGCCAGGCCAUCAAGCCCGUUGAAUGCUUAGGCCGGACCGCCACCCGCUGCAGGGCGGGACAGCCCGGACCCGAGAGACCCACUACAGGGCGUGCCGGGCCCAGCCCACUCGUCCCACUGCGGGGCGAGCCAAGCCCGCGUGCAUACUGGUGGGCGGGCAUGGCCAGGGCCGGCCAGCUAGUAACAGUGCGGAGAGGGGCGGGCCGGACCCGUAUGAGCGCAGAAGACUGGGCUGAGCCCGUGCGUCGCCCACGUAACGGGCCGGGCCAGUAAGCCCGGUAGCCACAGUUCAGGCCGGACCGGGCCAAUGAACCAGCUGCGGUGCAGGCCGGUCCUGCAAGCCCGUUGCGGGCCGGUCCCGGCCCGCAAGCCUGCUGUGGGACGGGUUGGGCCUGCAAGCCUGCAGAUGAGCGGACCCGACCAGCUAGCCACACUGGGACGGGCCGGGCCGGGCCCACAUAACAGCUGCGGGGCCGGGCCUACUUACCAGCUGGGCCGGCCGGGCCUGCAACCAGCGGGGCCAGGCCUGGGCCUAGCACCCACAGCGCUGUGAGGGGCCCGCCCCCCCUGUGCAGCGUGCCGGGACCACGCGCCCCGCCAGCGAGGAGGCCGGGCCGGGCCCUACGCCAGCGGGCGGAGGUCUGCCCCGCAGCAGUCUCGUUUCUCUUCACGCACAAAGCAAUAAAUAUAAAAGGGGAAACUUCAAAUAUCCCCCUGUAGUUUCGCACUUUCUCACUUUAGUACCCUGUGGUUUAAAGUAUAUCAAGUUAGUAUCAUGUGGUUUCGCACUUUCUCAAUUUAAUACCCUGUGGUUUCAAGUGUAUCAUGUUAGUGCCCUGUGGUUUCUUUUUUGUAUCAAGUUAGUACCAUAUGGUUUUAAUUUUCUCUUUUUAUUAUCCAUUUCGGGGUAUAUAAUUUAACGAAAUAUUAAACCACAUGGUACUGAAGAGAGAAAGUGCGAAAUCACAAGAUACUAACUUGAUACAUUUGAAACCACAUGGUACUAAAGUGAGAAAGUGCGAAACCACAUGGUACUAACUUGAUACAUUUUAAACCACAUGAUACUAAAGUGAGAAAGUGCGAAACCGCAAGGAGGGUAUUUGAAGUUUCCCCAAUAUAAAAUAAAUAAAUAACAGAUUUUUUUUUUUUUUUCAUGCAAUGAGCAGAAAAACAAUACACAAAGAUGUAAUUUUUUUGGCUGACUAAAUAAUUUGAUGCAAUAAAGUUCUAUAUAAUAAUUUAAUUUAGUUGUCUAAAUGUUAAUGUAUUGCUAAUAAAAAAGUAACGUAGCAAUUUUGUGAUCAAUGGUUUGCUGAUAUGCCAUAAUUAAGAUGCCACGUAAUAUUUCAAUAUUUAGUCAACUAAAUUAGAUAGUGGGUUAAUUCUAAAAAUAAAUUAAACUUUGAGAAUUAAAGUGUCACUGACAAAGUUUAAUGACCAAAUGUGCAAUUUACCUUAAAAAUUCCAUCAUGUAAUUACAAUAUUAUUGAUGACAUGCAAUUUUCUAAAUACCAAACAUUAUUAUUAAACUCUAAAACAUUAUAAUUAAACUCUAAACGUUAUCAUUAUACUCUGAAUCCUAAACUCUAAUUCCUUCACAUGUGUUAACCAACAUCUAUUUCUAUUCUUUCUACUACAUUAAAGGAGGGUUUGGGGGACCAAAGGGUGACACGUCUGCCCCCUAUACCCUCCUUUACUCUCUCUCUCUCUCUAAAUUUCUUCAAAUUUUGAGAGAAAAUACUUUAAACUAUUUAGAUUAAGAUUAAUAUUCUUGAUCUUGAAUUUAAAAGUUCUAUGCUCAAAUUUUAAAGAAUAUUCAAUUUUCACCGUCCAUUUUGACAUAAUUAAUUUACUAAGUAAACGAUAUAAAAAAAAAUUAAAAUUUUAUUCCUAAGAACUUCAUAUACCCUAAAUCAUAUUUAACGCUGUGGAUCGUUAAUUUGAAUACCCUAAGAACGAAAACAAGACUAUAGUACCGGAGCUCCGGUACUAUAGAUAGUAUAGUAGCCUAAUUUUAUAUAUAUAUAUAUAUAUAUAUAUAUAUAUAUAUAUAUAUAUAUAUAUNNUAAAUUUUAUAUUUUAAAUUCUAAAUUUUAAUUUUAACUUAUAAUAUUUAUUUUCAAAUUUUAAAAUUUUAAAUCUCUAAACUCUAUAAAAUUAAUUAAUUACGUUUAUUAAUAAUUAAUUAAAUAUAUUAUAUUUAAUUAAUUUUAUUAAUAAUACAUGUAAUAAAUCGUGUAAUAAAAUCUAACUUGAUAGAUGCAAUUUAAAUCACGUAAAAUAUCUCUGUAUAAAAAAUACAGAAUUUAAAUUUUAGAAAUAAAAUUUUAGAAAUAUAAUGUAUAUAUAUGUGUAUAUAUAUAAUUAAUUUUUAUUAAACAAUUUCUUCUACAAUUUUAUUUUUCUUCUAUUUAUUGAUUUUUUAAAAAUUAUUUUGAUAGAUUUAUCUCAAAUCCUUUUCAUAUAAAUCUUUAUAAAAUAAAUUGGUGUAUAAAUUUACUUUGCACAUAUACUAAUAUUAAUAAAUUUUAUUGAAAUAGAUUUAACUAUUAAAUUAUUUUUAUAUAACUUUUAUUUAAUUAAUAAUUAGAGUUAUAAAACUAUAAUAAAAAUAUUUUAAAAAGUAAAAUUUAUUAUAAAAAAAUUUUUUUAUGUUGCGCGCGAAUAUUUCACUAGUAUCAAUAAAAUAUAGUUGCGUACUCCAAAGUGAAGGAUCCAAAAUAUUACUUACUCUAUACUUAAUUAGCUUUUAUAAAAUUUUAUUAGUGCGCCGUUCACCCAUUGGCUUCAUUAGAACAAAUGUAAACCAUGGACUCAUCAUCAAGGAACGCAAAAGUUAAAUCUAUGGUCAACGAUCGUGACAUCGUGCCCUAUCUGUAGUAGCGUAACUGACCAGCGAGUAAAUUCCCGCUCAUGCAUAUUAUUCUACGCAAAAUUUUCCUCUCAUCACUCCCCAUCCCUCCAAUGCUAAUACAAGACUAGUAGAAGUAAUUAUAGCUUAAUUCGCUCUCCCUCAUCACACAUUCAAACAGCUGCAGACACCAUGUCCAACGCCAAUAAUGUCGACUUGCAGGCGCCGGCCGAUCCCUACGAGUGGUUGGCCUCCGACGAGACGAAGAGGCCGACGACCUACAGCCUCAACAUCCGCAUCCUCACCACCGCCGUCCUCUCCCUCGCCUUCGUCCUCGCCUUCCUCCUCUUCCUCCACCUCUACAUCCGCUACGUCCUCCGCCGCACCCACCGCAGCCACCAUCGCCAAUCCACCACCGCCAUCGCUACCACCACUACAGCCGACACUACCACCCUUCGCAUCGGUUUCGCCGCCGCCGCAGCCAAUAAUAAUAAUAAUAACAACAACGAGCCCGCGAAACGGCCGGGCCUCGAUCCGUCCGCCAUCGCGGCGCUGCCGUCCUUCUCGUACGCGAAGAGGGAGGCCGUCGACUGCGCCGUGUGUCUGAGCGCCGUCGAGGCGGGGGAGACCGUGCGGCGGCUGCCAGGCUGCGGGCACGUGUUCCACGUGAGAUGCGUCGACGCGUGGCUCGAGACCAAUUCGUCGUGCCCGGUCUGCCGGGCGGGGGUGGAACCACCGCCACCGGUGUCGGUGUCGGCGGAUGUAGCAGUGGCAGGCGACGCUGCGGUCGGGGGGAAGGAGGAGGCGGUCGGGUCGGUGUCGGCGCGGCUGAGCACGUCGUUGCGGCGGAUGCUGAGUAGGGAGAGAUCGGGGAGGGGAGCUGCAGUUGCUGCUGCAGGAGAAAUUGCAGUGGAGGAUUUGGAGAGGCAGCAGUAGUAAUUAAAGAUUAAUUAAUUCUCAGUACAUUAUUUGUUUUGUUCAAGCAAUGAUAUAAACUCUCUUUUUUUUAUUACUGUUUCUUUUAUUGGUAUUCAAGAAGCUUAUAAAUUCUCAAUUUUACUGUUAAAAAUAUUAUCUAAAUAUAAUCAUAUUGUAGAUGCACCAUUAUUAAUUUACCAUUAUUGCUAGUUUUACAAUCUAACUAAAAAGGAUUAUAAUUCUAAAACUUAGCCAUUUUUCAACAUCUUUUCUUUUAUUAUCUUUUUUUAUAAUAGUAAAUUUUAAAAAGGAUCGGAUCAAUUCUAUGAUAGAGGAUUAUUAUAGGAUUCAACUUUUUUAGAUCGUAGACUUAGCAAUUUUGUUAUUAAUUACUAUGUAUAUAGGAAAAAAGGAAUUAAAAAAAUUAAGAUUUAUUUGUCGACAGAAACAAUAGAUACAUGCGAGUUUAAUUUUAAUGCGCUUGAUUAUACUUUUAUUUUUAAUUUGAUCAAUAACAAUUAUUUUUAAUAGAGCAUUCGGUAAUAAUAAAUAAUAGUCCAAUAAUUUCAGUGGCAUCGAAAAUAAAGAAUUUUAUAUGUGAACAGUUGAAAAAAAAAAAAGGGGGCCAGAGAGGGCCUAAGUUUGUCUUAGUUUAACACAUGCUCAUGCCAUAACAGCAACAGCGUGGCGAACAGACGAGAACCAAUUAGAAACUGCCACGUGCGCAGCCGGUAGUGGAAUUCUACGGCUUGCAUGUCGUUGGUCACGAAGUAGUGGGAUUGGUUGGGGCUUGUGGGACCUACAAAUAGACAAGGGACAAUCACGAGUCCCAAGUUUCAAAGGAUUCGGUAGACGAACCAUGUUGACUUUUAUUAUUAUUAUUAUUAUUUUUAAGGAAGAAAGAUAAUAUAAUAUUAUUUUGUUUAUUUUUUUUAGAAAUAAUACUGCUAAUGUAAAUCAACUAGAAUUCAAACUUAAAAUUUCGGAGUACCAACUAUCAAAUUUUUUGCCACUUACAUUAAAGACAGUUGGUCUUUUUAUUAUUUCUUUGUUCGAUGAUCCGGUGUUUUAGAAGUGAGGUCGAAUUUGCCGGCGGAACCGGUUGUAUCAUGACCCAAUUUCUAUGCCGGUUCAGUUCAGCUCAUAAAGUUAUAAAAUUGAUUCAUUUGAACUAGCGAUUUGACCGAUAUAUUAAUAAACUUCAAUCCAAUUUUAAUUAGGCGGACUCAAACUAUCACUUACUAUAAAUUAUCGAUCGGAUAAUUAAAUCAGUUCGGUUUAUUCUCUUUAAAAAACCUUACAAAAUAUAUUUAUUUAUCUUCUUUAUUUUUAUUAUUUUAUAAAUAAAAAAUAAUAAUUUAUUAUUUAUGAUAUUACGUUGACAUUAUUGAUUGGACCCAUGGAACCACUAGAUGAACCAGUCGAAUGGUGACAAAAGCAUUGAGUUAAAACAUUGAUUUUCACAUUGCUUUGGUGUAAAGAGAUUUCUUUUUCUUUUUUUUUUUCUUCUGGAUAGAUCGUUAAGUACUACGGUCAUUAUAUGUGGCUAACCGUGAAUUAGACAUAAAUAUAAUAAAUUUGUAGUUUAAAAUUUUUUUAAAAAAAAUAUUUUUAAAAACAAAUAUAAUUAUUUAUUUCUCUAUAGUUUCUAAAAAUAGCAUAUCUGAAUCGACAAUCAGUAAUGUUAAACGUAAUCUAAACUAAUUGAAUUUUCUAUGACUUGAAUUUCAUAAUUUUUUAACAACAUUUGUAUAUAUAGACAUAUAGUGGUCAAGUAAUUUCAAAGUUACUUCAUAUUCAUUAGAAAAUAAUAAUUUUGCAGUUGAGUACUAAAUAAAUAAUAUCAAAAAAUAAUAAAAUCUUGAAUCUAGCUAGAAGGUUUAAAUAGUCUAAAUCAAAUUUAACAAUAUAUUUGGAAAUGUAUUAUUGAUAUAACUCUGAAAGCUAGAACAGCUUCAGUGUGAUUAGAAUGUAGAAUGCCAUACUACACAUGGAAAAAAUGCAUGUAAAUUAAGCUCGAAAAUGGAGAGAGAUGCAUGGUAAAUCACCGAGAAUGACACAAAAAAAAAAAAAAAAAUCUUGUCAUAUAUUCAAGAGAAGAGAUAGUUUCAUAAUCUAUAUAACAGAGUAAUUGCAACCAACUAAAUUUUAGAGCUAAUAUAAAUCUAAUUAUCGUAAUAAGAUUAGGAAAAUGUUAUACUAUUGAUAACAGGGAAAAAUCUUAUUACACUCAUGACCAAGAGUAAGGAUAAAGUUUGGAAGUAAACAACUCCAAUUCCACGGACAUAAUAUAUCUAUAGUAUCGGAAUUUCGAUACUAUAGUUUGUUUUCAAUCUUAGAAUGUUGAAAUCAACGAUCAAAAUCGUUAAAACUAAUAUAGAAUAUUUAAAGUUUUUAGGAAUAAAUUUUUUUUUUUGACAUAGUUUAUUUUAUGAUCAAAUUAGUUAAAAGUUAUCAAUAUUUAAUGGCUAACAUGACGAAUUUAUAUAUAGUUUAACGGUAUAGAAGAAUGUAAAUUUAUUCGAUGAAAAAUAUUUUAAACCAUCUAGAUUAAGAUCAGCAUUCUUGAUCAUGAAUUCAAAUGUACUAUCCUCAAAUUUUAAAUGAUGUCAAAAAAAUAAAAUUUUAUUUUUAAGAAUUUUAUAAUCCUAAAUCAUAUUUAAUGAUGUGAAUUGUUGAUUUGAAUACCCUAAAAUCGAAAACAAAAUUAUAGUAUAGAAGCUCUGGUACUAUAGAUAGUAUAUUAUCCUUGUUCUUCCAUAGCAAUGUUCGUAUAUGAUCCAACCAAUGAGUGUGGGCAAUUUUUUUCCGUAGUUGAAGAAUCAUCUUAGGUUAUUGGGUUAAUUUCAUUUGUACCCUUACAAAAUUAUGAAAUAUCACGAAUAUUCUUCGAAUUUUUAAAAUUUUACAAAUGCCCCUCUAAAUAUAAUAUUUUUUCAUAAAUACCAUCCCUGUUAAUUUUUUCUGCCUUCCGUCAAUUUAGUAUUUUUUGUCAUUUUACUUUAAAAUAUGAAAUUACCUUUUUACCCUUAAUUUGUUUCCUAUAUGUUUAUGGGUUAAUUUCAUCGGUACCUCUCUAAAUUUCAAAAAUAUCUUAAAUGUCCCUAUAAAUUUGGUUAUAUCAUAACUUCUAAAUACAUACUUUCUUUCAAAAACAUCCUCGCUGUUAUAACUCCGUCACUUCAAGUCAUAUUAAAUUUAGUUAGAUGGCGGUCUAACACUGGUUAAAAUUUGAAAUGUUUAUUUUGCCCAUAAGUUGAGAAAUUUUUGAACGGUACAUUAAUUUUAUGAUUUACUAUUUAACCCCUAACUUUUAUUCAUUAUUUGUUUAACAUUUAGACUAACAUUAUUCGCUGAUAUUCUUUAAUACUACUUAGCUCCUAAUUUUUUUUAAUUAUUUAUUUUAGUUAGUUAUAUUUAAAAUUUCAUUUAACUUAGAUUGCUCUGUUAGCUAUUACUUAUUAUAUAUUUUUUUAUUUUAACUUCUACAAAAUAAUUAAAAUUAUUAAAUUUGUUGGAAUCAUCAAUGGAUUGAUAAAAUCUGUAAUUUAAUUAACAAAAAUCAAUCUAAUUUCAAGGAACCAAAUAUUAAGAAAACUUUGAUCAAAAAAAUUAAAUUAAGGGGCUAUUUCAUAAUGUAUAAUAGUUAAGGAAAUCUCUAUAUAUUAAUCUUAGAAAACUUGUGAGGGUAUUGAUGAAAAUGUAUUGAGGGUAAAUUCGGUAUUUUGAAUUUAUUAUACCUAAACAUAACGAGCAAUAGUUACGAGGGCAUUUUUGAAAAUUUUUAUGCUUUUUUGAGGGCAAAUAUGAAAUUUUAAAAUUUUAAAGGGUAUUUAUGAUAUUAGAUCUAUUUGGAAGGGUAGUGAGGAAAUUUUCCGUUUGUGUGGUUACUGAAAAAAGAGGAAACUGAAUGUACUCUUGUCUCUCUUUCUUUCGAAAAAUUUCAUCACCUAAAACAUUUGACGGAAACUGAUCGUCCCUGGUAUAAUGUUAAAGAAUUUGAUGAUUAAUAUGUAAAGUCUCAAAUUCAAAAUCUAAUUAUUUAUAUUUUUUGCUAAAUUUAGUUUUUUAAAUAAAAUAAUUGAAACAGGUAGCAUGCUAUAUUUUUUUUUAAAAAAAAUCUGAUGGAAACAAAUUUCUUAAAAAACCUUUCUCAAACUUGCUAAAUUUGAUAUUUGCUCGUGGACCGCAAACUUGCAAUUUUUGUCGGAGUGUGUGGCUUAGUUUGAUCUUAUUUAAAUAUCUUCAAACUGAAUGUGAGGUUAAUAUAAAUGUAAGGAUAAAUUUCAAAUACUAUCUCUGUGGUUUCGCACUUUCUAACUUUAAUACCCUGUGGUUUAAAGUGCAUCAAUUUAGUAUCCUGUGAUUUUUUUUUCUCUUUUCAUCAGCUCCUACCUUAACAUUUUGUUAAAUUAUAUACAAAAAACUUUAAAUACCCCACUUAGAUUUAUCGAAUAUUCAUUUUAGUAUCUUUUAAUUUUAACUUUGUCACUGAUUAAAAAAAAAAAAAAGUAAAGAAGAUGCUAAAAAUAAAAAUAUGAAACCACGAUAUACUAAAUUGAUACAUAUUAAUUAAAUCAUAGAGUACUAAAAUAAAAAAAUACGAAACCACGGGAAUUGUAUUUGAAGUACGUCUCCCUAAAUUUAAUUCUUGCCUUUAGUAUCCUUCUCCCGAUUGGCUUCACUUCUUUUUCUCAUUUUUCUCUCUUUUAUUUUCUCUCCAUGUCUUACUAAUCAUUUCCAUCAACCGUCCCUAGAGCAAGUGGCAAAGGGCUUGGUGGUUGGUAUCCGAGACCCAAGUUCAAAUCCUAGUUGAUUCACAUUUUUAGCUAAGUUUAUUUCUAAAUGAAAUGAACGAAGCGGGUAACGUGCUACCUAUCUCUCAAAAAAAAAAAAAAACAAAACAAAACAAAACAAAACAAAAAAAAAACGUGCGUGGAAGGGGAAACCACUGAGUUCAGGGUACAAAUACAAAACGUAAAAGAUAAUUUUGAGACUAAAAUAUUCAAGAGAAAAGUUUAAGGGCUAAAAGAUGUCACAACAUUUGUGACAAACCUUGGAAAAUAUUUAUCCAUGCAUUCCAUCAAUCAAACUGACCAAUGCUAGGGAGUUUCACACACGAUUGGGUUCGCUAGGGUAAAGCAAGGACCAAGUUAACCAAGAAUGUGUUUGGUAAAAACGAACUACACCCCAUCAAAUUUGGUGACUUCGAUCCAAGCGAUGAAAUUCAACCUUGCGCUCAUUACGGGCAAAGUCACUAGCUAGUUUGCGCUGUGCGCAAACUCGCUGCCAUAUGAGACGGAUUCGCGCACGUCGGCUCCAUAGGUUCCAUGGAAGUCGAGCUGCACGAUUCAAUCCACGAACACUGGCAUGAAAACUCAGCCACUUUGACCCUGACUUUGGACAAACCAAACAUGGCCUACAGUACACCCCUAUGGGUGAGCAUAUUCGGCUCAAACUGAAUUACCAUACAAACCCCAUCGAAAUCAGUCGGGUCGAUUGCUUUUACAUAUAAUAUAAUUAUAAUUAAGUUCCGUUCUAAAAGUUAAAAGCUAGAAAAUCGAAUAAACGGAAUAAAACAAAAGUUGAGUAAUUCAAUAUAUAUUAGUCUCAAAUUUUAAAAAACUUAUAUAUUAAUUACUAUUAUUAUUAUCUUAGAUUAAUGAUUUUAAACAUAAAACUAAUCAUAAUUAUAUCUUAUUUUUAGUAAUUUAGAAAAAGCCCUAAAAAUAUUUUAUUAAAACUAAAUAAACUGAACUGAAUCAACCGAAUUAUUUGGUUUUGUUCACAUCAGUUUUUGCCUCUAACUCGUUUUGGUUAGGUUUUAUAAAAAGCUGUAAAUAUGGCACUAGACAGACCAACAAUGCUUACCCCUACAUUUGCCUACUGCUUUUGCCGCUUUUGUGAACCAAUUCGAUCGACAAAGUUGAGAAAGCACGUUUGGUGAUGACAAUGGUGGUAGAGGUGAUAAAUGCGUCGAGAGUUCAAUCCCGUAUUAGAUAAUUAAGAAGAAAGUAAAGAAUUGAUGUAUUUCAAUGGGUGCAGAUCUAAUAGGCUUAAACUUUUAGAUUGAAUGAAUUCAAUUAUUUGUCAUAUCCUUAGACUUAUGUAAAUUUGGAUUAGGCUCAAAACUCCCUAACAAGUGGUACUCGUUUAAAUAGUAUGGUGCAAUUGAAUUAGUUGUUAUUAAAAACGUGACGGGAAUACAUGGAGGAUUUGUCUAUACCUCUAUACAUAUAUAUAAAUUUUCAUGGCUAAAUUCACAUGAAUGUACUAUCUUCAUUUGAGGGUGGUGGAGAGAUCAAGAUGCGUAUGGAUUUUUCAAUAUAUGAUUUUCGGUUUUUCUUUUUCUCUCUCCUUUUUUGUUGCUCACUGUUCGGAGCCCUCCGGCCUCCAUUCGCUGCUCCUCAUGCGUCCUUGACAAGAACGGUUCAUGAUGCUAUCACAAGCUAUACUAUUCUCAACAAUUAUAUAUGGAAUAUCUAUAUUGUUAUGUUUUUAUUUUUUCAUAAUUUUUUUUUCAAUUAUCUACCUGUCGCAUCGCACAGGUUGUUUCAUUAGUGAUAAAAUGAUAAGACAAUUUUGUGUACUCAAAAGAACUGGACUCAGAGAGGAGUGGAUUGGAUGUAUGAGCUCAUAUUAGUGCAUUAAAAUCAAUUACGCCCGAGAGGCACAUGCCAGGAGCAUGAGUUGGGCUAAACUUUUGAUUGACAAUGACUAAAGCACAUGGAUUGGGAUGUGUGGAUUUGCAGUGACUUACAAAGAAAAGCUAGAAGGACAUGUAUUUGAGACGAACCAAAAAGUGAUUCGGUGCUACGCGUGGAAAGUAAAACGAAAAAAAAAAAAUUUGAGUUUAAGGGGAAAAAAACAAGUAAAACGAAAAAAAAAAAAGAUUGAGUUUAAGGGAAAAAAAUUGAGUUUAAGCAGAAGCAGAUUAGUUCGCAUGUAAAAUGAGAAGGUUGUUAAGAGUUUAUGUAAAUAAUCGCAUAUUGAAUAAUUAAUAAGAGAGAAAAAUGUUGAAAUAUAUGCCACUGGGCCUAAUGAGUUCCAUCAAAAUAUGCUACAUGUGAAUCUGGACCAUGCGGUUGGGUCCAGAACUCCUUGCUUAUAGGGUCCCCCUUAACUUUGUUUAUUUUAGAUCAGCACGGCACCCUCUUAUUGACCGUCCUUAACGCAAGUGGCAAAAAGACUUGAUGGGUUGGUAUCUGAGACCCACCGCACCCUCUUAUUGACCGUCCCUAGCGCAAGUGGCAAAAGCGCUUGAUGGGUUGGUAUCCGAGACCCAAGUUCGUAUCCGAGAUCCAAGUUCGAAUCCUAGUUGAUUCACAUUUCCAGCUAAGUUUAUUUCUAAAUGAAAUAAACGAAGCGGGUAGUAUGCUAUCUUUCUCUCUCCCAAAAANAAAAAAAAGCACCGCACCCUCUUAGUUCCUAAUUUUUUUAAUUAAGAAGUUUAAAGUUCAGAGGUUCUUUUGAUAGUUGAGAGGUGGUUUCCAUCCUAAUUUUUUUAUAAAUUGUCGAUAAACGCUAAGUCUACAAUCCAAAGAAUUGUAAUCUCUUCAACCCGUCAUCCAAGAGGUUGUAGGGUGUUUAAAAAAAUAAAAAAUUCGAAGGUGCUAAGACAAGUAGAAAAAAACACAAAAGGGGCUUUUGGUGAGUAAAAUUGCAGGAUUAGUGGAUUACAACCCAAAAUAGGUUGAAGGCCUUGCAUUUCCCAUUAAACUCUAUACUAAAAUUGAAGCCAAAUGCCGUUUCUCCAAUGAGCCACGUGGCCUUUUUUUUAUAUGGAUUUUCUCUCCCUCCCUCACAUAGACUCACAUGGGCUAUGUUAAAUGGGCAUGUAUUAUACAAAAUUUUAUUUCAUGCACCCUCUGUAUCAUAUUAAACAAUAAUGAUUUUAAAGGUAAGAGGCUAUGUUAAAGAGGCAUGUACUAUGAAAAAUUUUAUUCCAUGCACCCUCUGUAUUAUGUUAAACAAUAAUAAUUUUAAAGGCAAGCUCAGUUAAAAUCAACCAGAAGAACGUCAUCUUAAUUUUACAGUUCUGAACCUUAAUUUUCUUUGUCGCCGAAAGAUCUACCAACUAAAAUCUUUAUCAGAUUGCUACUAUUUUCCGUCCUCACUUUUGGAGUGUCAGAAUGACACGAAAUUGUAAAUUUAGUCUAAGAAAAAUAAUUCCGGCAUAUAUUGAAAGUUUAAUAUUUUUUUACAAUGUAUAUUUUCUUCUAAAAAAAAAUUAUAUUCCUUACAGAAAAUUCUAAAUCUCAUGUUUUCAUUCCAAUUGCACCAUGGAUUAUUUGUAAAUUAUCUUUUACUUUUUUAAGUCCAAUAGAAAUAGUAUCUCACCCACAAGAUAAUCUUUUUUCUUACAAAAUUUUUCAUACUACAUACAAAGGGUGUAUGAAACAAAAAAAUUCAUAGUACAUAGAAUACUGUCUUGUCCUUUUGCUAUCUUUCUAAUCAUGAGAGUGCAUACAUCCUCCCCCCAAUUUUUUCUAUAUAUAGCAUUGCUGUUCACCAAAAGAAAAAACAAGAGAUUGAUGAAAUCAAAACAUAUAUAGAUUGUAGAUAUUUAUCUGCAUGUGAAGCAACUUGCCGUUUGUUCCAAUUUGAUAUCCAUUUUAGAGAACCAUCGGUUGAGCGACUACGAGUACAUCUUCCUUUAAUGAAUAAUAUUAUUUUCCACAAUACUGAAAAUUUAGAAAGUCUUUUGCGUAGACCAAGCAUUGAAAAAACAAUGUUGACUGAGUGGUUGCAUACCAAUUCAAUUUAUGAAGAUGCUCGACAACAACGAUAGUGAUUUGCCUAUUUAAACUUCUGCUGUAGCGAAAAAAUCACGUUUGUAAGUAUUAAUAUUUUUAAAAUAUUUUUUGUAUUUCUUAUUCCAUCAUAUAUAUAUAUAUAUAUAUAUAUAUAUGAGAUAUUGUUCAUACGUAUGCAGUUCGAAGACUAGAAAAGGACCAAGCAAAGUUAACACCCGCAAGAAAUCAAGUGGAACCGAUAGGCCAUAAUUAAUGAUUUAAGAACUGUUUUAUCAAUUAUAUUUGUAUUAUCAAAGACAUCACAUCGUAUUAGAUAAUCUAUAUUAUAUAUUUAGUUAUCUUACAUAAUGUGAAUGUUAUAUAUAUCUGUAUGUUUCGUGAUAAAUAAAUAAUGAAAGUCGUAUUAUUAACUCUCAACGCUACGACCUCCCGCCGCGAAGCGCGGGUCAUUACACUAAUAUAUAUUAUUACAGUACACACAUCUCAAACUGUAGAGCUUUAACAAAUGACCCACCAUACUUUUAACUUGGCAAUUAAAUCUCAAAACUUUAUUAAAAAAUUUAAUAGUCUCUGUCCAGGAGAAAAGUAAGUAAUUGAACAACUGUGCUAGCGGCAUAUCUUAUAGAUAUCCUAUAAACUUUCAAAACACAAAAAACUGAGUGAAUUUGUUUUUGAUUUUUUCUUUUCAAACAACUAGAAUUUUAAAGAAUGUUUCAUUGUGUCAUGAAGCUUCACAAGAUCAAAUGCAAGAUGAAUGAGAACAGAUGUUUAAUUAGGAACUUUACUUGAAAAGAAGAGUUUUAUUGAAUUAUUUAAUGAAGUUUACGAGAAAAGGGGCUGUACAUUUCUAAUGCAGGCAUAGAUCCUGUAGGUGGCUAUUGAUGCUCUGGUACCAAACUGAUGCAAGCUGAAAUGCUAUAACUACAAGUAGGGUUGUCAACAAGCCGAACACGAACAAGUUGGGACCGGCUCGUAUUCGUUCAUUUAUUAAAUGAGGCAAAUACGAGAUGGUUCGUUAAAAUAUCGAUCCCGAGCCCAUUUCGAGCGGAACACGAGCUAGUUCGUGAAUAGUGAGUUGGAUUGCCGGUCCUAGUUGCAAGAACUGUAGCAACAAGUAUUAUAUCAACAGGUAGAAGAGUAAAAAAGAAAAGAAGAGAUAAAUAAUUCUAAUCCUAAUAAGAUAUCUUAAUUUUAAUAAUUUUUGCAAUUUAAAACUUCUAAAUCAAUAUUCCUAAUUUUAAAAAAUUUAUUUCAUAUCACAAAUCCUAAAAUAUCAAAAAAGUCUAAAAUAAAUAAUCAAUAAUAAUAACUUGAAAAAUUACCAAAAAAAAUCCUAAUUAAUAUUUUUGGUGGCAUCAAUUCCAUAAUAGGUAAAUUGCACCAUUAGUUCCUAAACUUCAAGCCAAGUUUUAUUUUGUUCCUUGAAUUUCUAAGUUAAAAGUGAUCCCCUAGAGGCACCUCAUAUUUAUUUACUGUUAGUGGAUAAAUUAUUGUCUACACCAAAGUGCAUAUCUAUGUACUAUGUAUUUAUGGACUAUUUUGCUCUCAUGGCAUAUUUCAACCUUUAUACCUAGAGUUGAAAAUGAAUUGAAUAAUACCUAAUCAUAUCUGCCUCCAUAUUCGAUUUUAUCCACAUCCGAAUAAGAAAUAUUUGAAUUUGGUCACGGAUCAGAUGUAGUUUCAAAGAGUUUAAAAUUAUUCGAAUAUUCACAAAAUUGGAUAUUUGAUAUGAAUAUUUGAGAAUAAAUAUGUAUGUUAUUAGUUAAAUUUUGCAGGUGAAUAAGAGAGAGUACGAUAUGGUUCACACGUACGGCAGGAGCCUUGCCCUUGCGCCUCUGCUUAGGGCUGUGGGUUUGAUUCAUCGCUUUUGAGCUGGGGCUGUGGGUUCGAUUCCUUGCACCGCCCAUGUAAACUUUUUUAGAUUUAAUUUCAAUUUUUAUUUUAAAAUUUAAUUUUAAAUUUAAAUUCAGAUCUUAAAGAUAUUUUAAAAUUCAAAUUUAGAUUUUUUAUUUAAAUUUAAAUUUUACAUUUAAAUUAUUCAUGUGAUGUAUUAUUGAUAAAAAAUUUAGAAGGCAUUUUUGAAAAGUUUUGAAUAUCAAUAAAUAGAAAAUUCAAAGAAGCAUGAGUGAUAUAAUAGAUAAAAAUAAAAUAGAUUUUUAUAAUUAUAAUGGCUAUUUCUAAUAAAAGCCAGUCAUUAAAAAAAUAUUUCUGAUAGGCAUGCGUAAUAUUAUUAAAUUUAAGUAAGCAUACUUGAUAUUAAAAUAGUUAGGGAAUUUUUAUUUUUUUUUAUUUUUUUUGGUUGUGGAGAGUUCUAAGUUUUAACAUCGUAUGCAUCUAAGGAUGCAAACAGGACGGUUCUGGAAGCGGGAGGUUCCUCUACCUCCCGUUUCAUUUUUUAUUGGGGCGAGACUGAUUCGGAGCAGAGUAUUUUUUAUUUUAUUUUUUGCUCCUACUUACCGUUCUAUUCAGGAUGAAUCAGGAUGAAAGUAAAAUUUUGACAGAUUUUUUAGGGGUCGAAAUGGAUUUAAAAAAGGAUGACUUCCAGCGUCCCGCAACUCCGCCCUAUUUACUUAGCGAUGGGGACUAUUCGGAAUAAAUUAUAUAUUUUUAUAUUUUUUAUUUUUAGAUAUUGUCUCAUUCAGGAUGGAUGGGACUUGGGAGGGAAGCUCCACGGAUCCAUUUGUAUCCCUGCAUGUAUCAACCGCUGGACAAUGCAAUGAACAUAAAGUGGGGCCCGCCAAAAUGCGGGGCCCACCGUUGGACGAGGUAGUGAGAUGACGCAACAGGCCCUCCGCCUCUCCCUAUAAAUAAGGGACUCGGCUACGUCCUUCGAAGGAACCAUAAACCCAUUCGCUCCCCCACCCCUCCACAAUCCCCGCUCGAUUACUCGCGAGCUCGGGGAGUACUCCGCAAAGAAGAGGAGAACGAAGGCGAGAUCUUAUAGAUUCUUCUGUCGAUUACUCUCUCCACCGCGAUCUCGGUAUCAUUCUCGAUCUCGAUCUAUCUCUUAAGCUCGAUCUAUCGAGUGGCUUCUCGACGAGUGUCUUAAUCGAGGUUUCACGCUCUAAAUUCCUAACGAAAUGGUGUUUUAGCUGCGGAUCUGUCGAAAAUUUGGUUCAAUUAGGGCUUUUCUUUGCGAUUUCGGUUCCAAGGCCUCCAAUGAUCCAUUUCUGGUUCAAUUCAACGGCUACAUCUAACAUACGAUUGUUCUUUGUCGUAAUUUUAGAUUCGAUGCUAUUUUUGGUUUUGCUAUGCUGAAAUUCUUGUGAUUUACUGCUCUUUCGUGCUCAUUUUAGUGGAAAACAGUUGUUUAUAUGUUUGAAUCGUUCUAUAAGGAGCCGAUCUCUUGUAGCUGGUGAUUUGAUCUAUUCUCAUAAAAUUACAUGGGUUUUGAUCUGUUUUCUAUUUAUUUUUUAGACAAAUAUAGCUUUCUAUUCUUGAAUAGUACUUUCAGGUCAAGUAUAGGGUGAAUUUAUGAUAUAAAACUUCCUAUGAUUGUUGAUUUGAUGAUUAUAUAUGUAUUUCAGAGUUUUGUAUACAGAAGAUAGAAUAAAUUCAUUGUUUAUACGAUGUAACGUAUGAAAAUAUGCUAUUACCCUCACAACUAAUUUCUCUAGGGUUACCUUUAUCUGAAAGCGGCAAACAACACUAAGACUCAGAAGGAAGCUAGUUAUUGAGAAGGGGAGAUAAGCAUGGAAAGUAAACAACAAUACUAAGUAGCUGAUAUCUGACGAGAUGAUUAUUCAUUUAUUCUCAGACUUUUAAUAACUCUUCAGUUUCAGGCUUAUAUAGUGAAUACUGCCAAAUAAGAUUACUUCACUAUAUAGCUUUCAUCUGACAUGCUAGAUGUUUUCUGAAUAGGAACAUAGAUGAGGAGAUGUUGCAUGUGGUUACAACAAUAACCCAAUGCCUCACCCAAAAUGGUUAAUGAGAACUUAUUGGAUUGGUUUCCAUGUUGUUUUAUAUUUCUUAUUUCACAUCCAUUGUGAGGUCUAAUUGCGUUCCGAAUAUUGAGCAGGACAGUCAAUAUAGGUUCUCAUGAAUAACCUGCAGAGAACAAGCUGCACAUGCAGACACAUUGAUGGCAGAAUCACAUAAGGGUAUUUCUUCAACUGCUAAUAUGAAGAAUAGAAGAGCAUUACUUGGUAUGAUUUGCUAUUCUGUUUCUGUGCUGGUGGGUUUACAAAGUUAAAACUCGUCAGCCAUUUCUUAUUUGGUACAUUGUGUUGCAACUAUUGAAAGUCCAUGAAAUAUGUUAAACAUACAUGGAGGCCAAGAUAGUGAUUGAACACUUUCUUAUUCUAUAUGCAAUAGCCCUUAAGAACAUCCAUGGCAGUGGAAUAAGUAUAUCAUAGAAUUUAACAUACUUGAUUUAAACCUGAUGUACACUUUUUCUUUGGAACAGAUGAAGAUUUUGGAAAGGACUUUCUUACAAGCUGGAAUUUGUCUAGACUGGGAAAAGAUGGACUCACCUUUGAUGUUGAAACAGUUUCACAGAGCGGCAAAAAGUUCAAUUUUGAUAAACUGUGAGUGGAUUUCAAAGAAACAAAUUUCUGGACCAACUCAAAGAGUAUCAUUCUACUCUGUAAUUAUGAUAUUAAUAUAGCCCUCUAUUCAGGGUCGACUUCGAGCUUGGUAGUAACUUUGACAAGCUAUCAUCUUUCAAACUGGAGAUGCCUGAUCUGGUCUUUUCCACUCCAUUCAAGAAGGCAGAGAAGGAAAAUGAGAAGUCUUCUGAUGAAUUUGUUCCGGGAAAAAAAGAAUCCAAAAAAGACAAGUUUGCCUUUGAUUUUGAUUUUAAUGAGUAAGUUUAUUGCACUAUAUUUAUUACUUCAGGACCAUUUGCUAUCCGAGGUUAAACAAUGUUAUAAUUUUCUUUUUGUUAUGUUCACAUGUUUUGUUUGCUUUUAGAUUGGGUAAGUUUGAUCUUGGCUUAAAACUUCUGACUGGAGAAAAGGAAGCUACUGAUCGCUCCACUAAAUGCCCAGAAGAUAUUGGUACCAAUUCUUCUAUUAGUCAGGACAAGGGUACGAAUAAGGUAGGCAAUUCAGGCAUGAACAUGGAUAUCCUUCAGAGUAAUGAGAAUAAGGCACCUUCCGAAACAGAGAAUCUAUCCACUUCAAGGCCUACUAAAUUGAUAGGGCAAGGGAUGGCAAAGACUGCUGGUUAUUCACGUUCUUUGAAGCUGACGUUUGAUGAUAUUCCCCAGGAAGUAGAUCCGUCUGCUACGAUGCAUUCCAUCAUGACAAAAGAAAAUAAAGAAGAAACUACUCAGUUCAGCAAGGAAAAUAAAGAGCAACCAGUUGCAACACACAAUGCAAGAUCAUCUGUUGAGAAUGCCGCACAGGGUUCCACACUUCUAUCUGCAUCUAGUGAUGUUUCAGCCCCGCCAACAGCUUAUUACUCUGAAGAGCUUUCUAUGUUGGAUCUUAUUGACCCAAAUCUGGUUGGUGGACAAGAUAAUAGCAUGGAAUCAAAUGAUUCAAGACACCAGAGGCCAGAAGGUAAAACAGAACCACCAACCACUGAAAGAGUGUAUCGGAAAUAUGAUAGGAACGUAAAUGAGUGUGGUAGAGAAAGCGUAUCUCAUAAUGAAUCAUCUGAAGGGUCCAAAGAUGUUUCCGGUACCUCUGCUACAGAUGUCUUACAGAGAAGUUUUUGUGGAACAAAGGUUGGCGGGGAUGGUGGAGAGAAGAAAAUUUUGAGUCCAAAUCUUCUUCCAUCACCAAUGCACAGGUUUAUUUUAUCUUAGUAGUUCUUUGGUUAAUGAUUGAGAAAUGAUCCUUUCAUUCAGUUGGUUCCAUGCAUGAGUUGUCGUUUUAAUUUUUAUAUGCUGAUUAUCUUCACAGUUAUCUCCAAGUUACUGUGUUGUUGCAGAAAUUUACUGUGUUGUUGCUUUUAUAACGUCACUUGUGUUUGCUGUCUUCAUCUGUAACCACAGACUUCUAGUUCAUUUAUCUGAUUAUCUGCUGUAAGUGCUUUUUAGUCAAUUCCUCAUAUGAGUAAUCUUAAGUUCUAGUGCAAUUUUAUUUCUUUAACUGUACAGCAAGUUAUAGGGUAAGUCUAGGAAGGGGUAUGCAGCUAAAUUCAUGUAUUCAUGUGUGGUGCAGAAAUUUUGCAUCUCUUAAGUCCAUCGCAACAAAAGAAAGAGGAUCCUCUUCUUCCCUAUCACUUAAGCCUCUUAAUGCGCCACUAACUCGAAAGAGCAGUUUCCUGAAGUCACAUCAGAAACCUGCAAAAGGGGCAUCCCUUUGCACUGCAAAUGACAAAAGCGAUAAAGAGCACAGCACUGAUAGGUAAGGAAUUCUUUAAAUGACCUGACUCUAUCUGUGCUGUUUAUUUUGUUGCAGAAGUUUGAAUGAACUCCCGAAACUUUUCACCUUGAGGGAUCAAACUUACUUAAGGACCUUGAGGAAGUCAACAGUUAACAGCAUGCUUGAUAAAUCACUUGCCAUGUUAAACUUAAAGUGCAGUUGAGACUCAUAGUUAUACCUAGGUUACUCAGUGUGGCUAAAUUUAGGUUGAACCUGAUCGUCAUUGUGAUAUAUGAGUUGACAAUAUUGCCUUUGUAGAUUCUGUCCUCUAUUGAUGGUAUUAGACCUAUCUUUCUCAAUUUUAGCUGGAAAGUUGAAAAAUACCCUGCAAAUUAUCGAGGAAUUAAGAAAGAGUAAAAUGAAGUGAUAACUAUUUUUUGAACAAGUUGGCUUUGGUUACCAUUCAACUGUUUUCUUAGAGGGUAAAUUGCACCAGGAGUUCCCAAUCUUUUUAAAUUCUUACAAUUGGGUUCUAAUCUUUUGCAUCCCAUUUUAGCUGCAACUUUUUCAUUAAGUUCCUCUCUUGAAUUGAGUGAAGUCAUCAACAUAUUCGCCAUUUGGGAAGUCCAAAAGUCGCAUACACAACAAUGUGAUGAUGAUUAGGCAGAUAUUUCUGUGCAACUUGAUUGAGAAGUUUAAUUGAAUGGUUAUGCAUGCAAUGAAAUGCCACAAGUAGGGACCAAAUUGUAAGAAUAUUUUGCUAAAAGGUUGAGGAACCUUGUAUAGUUUAUCCUUUUUCAGUUAUAGGUGAUUUUGAACUUGGUGAUCGGAAAAUUCCUAAACAACUGGGCUAAUUUUGGAAGAAUUGUCGGCAAUAAAAUAACUGGACUACAACCAAAUGGCAUGAAAUAAAAUAACUAGUACCUCUUGAUUAACCUUGUAGAUGAAACACGAGCUUUGACGAUCUCAAAGAACUAGGACAUUAUUACUGAAAACAACAACAAUGAAGGUCGUGUCCAAAGUGCAAUGUUUGGAUUUUGCUAGGAGAAAUGCAAUCUUUAAUUCAAAUCAUUUUUCAGUUGCAUCUAGCACCAUACUUUAUCUUUUCAUCCAUCAAUUUGAUGCUUAUAAUGUGAUAGUAUUUUCUGGUCAAGUGUGCUGGUUCUCCUUUUCUUUUAUUUUUCAUUUCUAUGCUGGUAAUACACAAUAAUUUUUUUAGUUACUUCAAUUUACUGAUAUUCUCCAAGAAUUUUCUUCAUUAGAUCCAUAUACAAAUUAUAUAAAUCCUGUCUUUGCAAUUCCAUUUCUUACUCGAAGUUGUAGUAACGAAAUUUUCUGUCCUUUUGAAAAUUCAUGAAUAGUUCACAAAUGUUGGUUGACUGAAUGUUUCUUCAAAUUAUUCAGGAAUAUAUUAAUAUUGACCAGCAAAUUGUAAAACAUAUAAAUAUGUGAAAUAAUAACUAAUUCAAGUAUUUUGCAUUAAUCAGUACCAAAUAUAUUAACAUUUACUAUCUGAAUUACCACUGAAUUUUUUCUGAAUUCUCCAUCAAUGUUGCCGAGAUCAAUUCAAAUACUCAACUUGUGAUUAUACUUGAAAUGCCUUGAUUUGCAUAUUUGGUACUUUAUUUUUCUCAUUACCCUUGAUGCAUUUCUUGCUUGACUUUUUGAUAGUGCUUGUACAUUUACAAUUGCAGUUUCCAUCUUCCAUCUUUCAACUUGCUUUCACGGGCUGAUACUGGCAGUAGCAGUACUAAGAGUGGCACUUCCAACCUUGUUUCAAGCUGCACACACCUUAAAAACCCCGAGGUCAUUUCUUCCGAAGUGCAACAUACUGCUAUGAAGGAUAUAAAACAUACUCUGCUUUCUAGCAUGAUGUCCUCAAGGUAGGAUAUAUGCAUCCUUCCUCCAGCUAUGCAGAUUACUUUGCAGAUGUUGAUCUAUACGAAGUUUUUUAUCUAAUGUACUUUUCGUUUGUGCAGAGUUGCGAAACUAAAUGGCAACAUUCCAAGUUCUACAAUGCGAAUAGAAGCAAAAUCAGUUAAGUUCUCAGAGGGGAACCAAGAUGCUCCUCAGAAUGCAAUAUCUAGCAAGCCCUACUCACCAAACAAAGAAAAACAUGUACCCCUGAGCCCACUUUUGAAGAGAAAGACUCUAGAGGUCCUCUCUAUUUGCAUAGUCCUAGUAUCUGGAUAUAUGAUUCUAUAGAGUACUUAUUUAAAACCUAUCUUCUAGUUGCAAGCUGAAUUUGUUGCUUAUUUGAUGCUAUUUCCUUUUAUUUGCCUGUUUGACACAUUUAUAAGAACAAAGAUAAAACCUCCACUACUUUUAAACCCUGUUUUGUCAUUAAAUACUUUAACAGGAAAGACCAGAUGGUGUUGUUUAACUUGUGAAUCAUAAAUGAAGAUAAUAGUGGUAACAAAGAACUAUAACAAUCUGCAAGCUAGAGGACCGGAAAAAUUUGUGAAGGGCAAAUGAAAUACAAAACUGCAUGACUGCUACCACCACAUAAGGAUUGUGCUGUGCUUCUUAUCUACAGUAUCAUCGUCAACAGGAAUUAUCUUUUUUGUUUCUUUGUUUGGAUUCUCUCGACUUUGCUGAAUCCUUAUCCUCUCUAGGUUUACCUCAAGGAUACAGAUAGAGUGGCAUGUAAAUAAGCCACAAAAUAUCAUGUGAAGGAAAAAGGACAGUGAAAUAUAGAAAAGUCAUUGAUAUAAGAGGUUAGGCAAAUGCUACCAUCCAUGGGAUGGGUGAGAAAACCACUAUAAUAACUACUGUUAGAAGGCUUACAAUGAUCAACAGGAGAUCUCUAACAAAUGCAUUAAGUAGAAGCACCAUGAAAGAAGCAUUUAAAAGGCCGACUGGAACUACAAAGCCAACUAUAAAUAGAUUAUCUUAAUUUUCCUUUUUGCAUUUCUGUCUCCCGCCUCUUUUCCUCUUGUAUUUUCUGCUUUCUUUUUCUCUCACUUUUCUCUCUUUUCUCCUCAAAGGCACUGGACACCGAAUGCUGAGAAUUGAAAGAGAGCUUUCUCAUUUCCUUUUUCUCCUGUUCAUAUGUCAGAUACAAAUACUAAGUGGACUGUAUUGUUUAAUCUUCUAGACUGAUGGCAAAGCCAUAAACAUAUUCACUUCUGAUUUUGCAGAAAGCAUGACUAGAUAAAAUAUCGUACGGCCUAAGUGAGAAUGCAUGAAAUAACAGAAAUAGGAGCUUUAGAAAAUGGGCUUCCAAGGUCCGUCCUUAUGCUAGAGGGAAAACAAGUAUGCUAGAGACAAAACAAGUUCUUUACCAUUCCUUAUGCUAGAAAGAAGACAAGUUACUUUCUCUUUAUGAACAUAAUUAAUUCUCUCAAGUCCUUUAAUCCCCUUUUGGAUCCAUUAUUCAGUGUUUCUACAUUUUAGUUUGUAAAAUUGUGAAAAUCUACAGCUUUUUUUCUCUUUCACAUCCAUGCCCUGUAGUCUACAUCUGUUAAAACUGACAACAAGAAUGCAGAAACUAGCCAUCUGUGACUAAUCAAAUGGAAAAGUAUGUAAAAUUUUGUUGUUAGUGUUGAUAAUGAUGUCCUUUGACUUCUUGUUUCACAGUGAGCUAGCAUGCUUAGGAUCUUCUAUGGAGUGCAAUGAACAUUAAGCCUCUUUGAACAACUUGUUCGCUGAUGCCAAUACGUAUAAUCUUUUACUAUUCUUAUCAUUGUUUUGUUACAUAUGCUUGCGUUGAAAAUUUCUAAUUAUUCAUGUAUAUUGGCAAUUUUCUUGUAUUACUGAUAUUUGAUGAUACAUCUUGCAGUUAGAAUCUCAAUAUCUGAUAACCUCUGAGAAUUUCAGUUGCCUUCUUAUGAAUCUCACUACAAAUUAAUUGGAGGCUUGAUUGGCUUCUUCAUUUUAGUUUGUGUAUCGUUGCCAGGGAUCAGUAACAGAUUUAAAGGCUCUUAAUCCAUUGAAACGCAUCAUGGAGUCUCCUGCUGAACAAAGGUAGCUUCCAUCAAACUUGCAGGAUAUAUACAUCCAUAGCUGUUUUGGUUCAUAACUUAUGCGCUCAUAUUACGCAGGAAAUCACCGAACAUUAGCUCAAAAUCUGCUAGUGAUUUGGUACUCAUUUGAUAUAUUUCCACACAUCAUUAAUACAGACUGUGCUUUAGUUAAAAUGAAGAUAUUAUCACGGUUAAUUCUGAUGUUUUCAUUUUUCUUGUUUUUCUACUGUGUAGGUUCCAGUAACUGAAAGUCAGAAAGCUUUAACUGAUAAUACUGUUACUUCAACUGGUCUUAAUGUGAUGGGGAGCAUCUCAGACUUUGAAAUGCCUUCACUUGUUGAAAAUGAUGUAAAUGUGGAAAAAGCUGAAGCUUGUGCAAAAGAGCUUGAUGAUGUAAGUGCAUUAUAUAUUUAGAAUUGAUUCGUUUUGUUUUCUUCAUGAAUACAGAAAUGUUUAGGGAGUCAUUUUAUUCGGCUUUUAAGCCACUGGAUGAGAGAGAGAAGGAUAUCAAAAAUGACUUGAAAGAAAGUUGCAAAGAAAAAUAAUGGUUAAAAUUAGAGUGACAACUGAUGUUGCACAGGAAUGUAAAAUUCAGCAGAAGUAUCCACACUAUAGACCCUAAAUAGCCGAGUAAAAAUGCUUAACUGUUGUCUGUCAUUUGUGUAGAUGCGAUUAAUGGUAUAAAUGAUAGAGUAACAACUAAUGUAUGGGACAUAGAGGGAAAUAGACAAGUAACUUGCUUAUGAUAAUAUGCAUGUACCUAUGGUUUCCUACUGUUUUUGCAGUGAUCAUGAAUGAGCACUCUAGGGAUGUUGAGAACAGAUGCUUUGGUGUUUAUCUUUUGCUUAUUGUGGUUUGAUUAGAUUCUAAGUUGAAAUCAUGGAGUUAAAACAUCAACAUCAAUAUCUAAAGGUUUAACGAUAAGUUGGUCCAAAACAGAAUGUGCACAGUGAAAUUAUUUAAAAUUCGUUUCCUAAUUGGUAGAAGGCAGAGUCAUGUUAACUAGGUGUUUAUUAGGAAAGAAACAAUGAAUAGAAUUAUACGCAACAUUAAGACAUGAUGGUUCAAGUGGAGAGUUAUGCAUUAAGAGUAUUAUUUGAUAGUCUGUUGCAUGGCAUUUUUAAUCAAAAUGAAAAUGUAUAUGAUGGAUAUCGAAUAGUUUAUUGUUCUGUAAAUGAGAAACUAGUACAUAAUUUUGAAUGUAUACGAAAUUACGGCAUCAUAAUUUUUCCAGAUAUGCAACAUGCUGAAAAAGAAGCACGAGGAAGCUAAAGAAUUGCUUGUUCGAGCUAUUGUAAACAACAAUGCAUUGCUGAUGUUAAACCAUCCCAUGUAUGAGGAGAAGAUAUCCUUUACAGCUGUAUCAUUUCGGGAUCCUGCAACUGCAAAUGUGUUUUAUAUAUCUUUUUGCCAGAUAUCAAACUUGUGAUUCCUUCACCAACAGAACAUCCGCGCCCUUCAGAGGUUUGCUACCAGUCUGCACUCCAAGGACUACUCUUUUUGAACUAGUCAGUGAACAACCAACUAAUCCAGUGUAAGCUCUAACUCUUCUGACUAUAUGCAUACAAAAUCUGAAGGCAAUUUACUAUUUCAUGUUGGUGGUCUCAUUACUAUGAUAAAAGUAGAAAGAAUAAUGGCAAUCAACUUUUGAGUAACUGAGUGCUCAUUUUGGACUCGAGGAUAGUUGAUCAAUCAUUCUGCAAUUGGUGAAAACUCAUACUUGUGGAACAGAUUCUAUGGUAAAAAUUAAUGAACUCUUCUGAUCACUCUCUUGAAAGGUUUUCCAAGUCAAUAGUUUUUCCGAAUGCGAAGGAUAAAUUUGCUGGGAAAGAUUGCAUUUAUUUUAAGCCUGAAAGAAAAUAAUAAAUAUAAAUAUGAGGUCUGCACUUCAUGUUAGUAAAUUGUGAAUUGUGGGAGAGAGGGAAAGACCGGACUGCUUAAAGCAAAUCUUCCAUCUUAAAUAUGAUAAUCGUAUAGUUGGAUAAUAAUUUGAAGUACCAUACAGGAGAAAGAGUUCUGACGAGCCUGGAACCUAAAGGAAUUGAAUCUUUAGUAGUAGAUACUAUUGUGGGGCCAAGUUGAAGUAUUAGGCUUAAAAUGAGCUUUACCUAUCAUUUUUUUUUUUUUUUUUUUUGAGAAAUCAGUAGCAUGCCACCGCUUCAUUCAUUAAAGAGAUGAAUUAAGCUACAAAGUGAGGCAACCGGGCCUCCUGAGGAAUAAAAAAAAAAAAAAAAAGAUUAUACACAGAACGCUUUCCAAAAAGAAAGAGACGAACGGACGGUCGAAAGAAGUUGGCUCAGGGUGGCCUUUCGCUUCUCGAAAAUUCUUUUGUUGCGUUCCAACCAGAUAGUCCACCAUAGGGAGGCGAGUGUAGUUGCCUCCCUUCGCCCGAAGGCACCCACAAGCAAACCCUCCAACAAGGAUUUGGUAAAGUCAUACCGUACAAAAAGAUGAUCUACUGUCUCAGGUAUCGUUCGGCAAAAGACGCAAUCCUCUUCCCCCUGCCAGCCCCUUUUUCGCAAGUUAUCCGCCGUUAGGACCCUACGUUUCAAAACUAUCCAGACGAAAAUUUUCACUUUCAAAGGUACCUUAAUAGACCACAAUCGAGAAUAGCUUUUGUCUAUCACUUCGCCAUCUUGUAGGAAGUUAUACAAGGAUUUAACUGAAAAAAUAUCAGAUUGAGCCCAACGCAAUCUAACGACAUCAUGAUCGCCGUUGGGCAUCGUAUCCGUAACAUUCUCCUUCAGCUUCAAAAUUUGUUCUCUCUUGUAUCGAGCUUGGGGUAAAACCGUGCAGGAUCUUGCGCCACUUCCAACCACCUUCGCCGAAACAAGCCUUCACCAAGUAUGAUUUGUUUAGCACACUACUAAAAUUCCAGGGAAUUGGGACUGGAGAGAAAGUUGACCGCACCAAAUGUCCGACCAAAAAUUUACUCUACUUCCAUCACCAAUCGAGAAUGAAAUUCCACAUUUGAAAACCUCCCUAGUCCCUAGGACGUUCCGCCACCACUGCGAGUACGGUCUGAAGGUGGCUCCUUCUCGUAGCGGACGUCUUCUGGAGUAGUACCGUCCUUCGAUGAGAGGUCCCGAUAAGUGAUUCCUGUCAGCGAGGAAUCUCCACCACCAUUUCGCCAACAGAGCCACAUUCAUAUUCUCCAGGUCCUUGACCCCUAGCCCUCCCCCUUCUCUAUUCCUACAAACCGCCUUCUAUUGGACCAGACAAUGACCCCCGACGACAGUAGUCCCCCCUUUCCAAAAAAAAGCUCAACUCAGUGCUUCGAUGCGGCGUAAAACCCAUUUCGGUGCUCCAAACACCGAGAAAUAAUAAAGAGGUAGGUUCGAUAGGACCGAGUUCACAAGCACCAGUCUACCUCCUUGAGAAAGCAGUUUAGUUUGCCACCCCUCGAUCCGCUUCUCAAUUUUACCAAUAAUAGGCCACCAGUCCUCCUUCCUAAGUUGUCUCACCGAAAGUGGGAGACCGAGGUAACGAAACGGGAAGGACCCCCUCUUGCAUCCAAAAAUUCCGACCAACCUGUCCCCAGAGGAGGCCCCUCUACCUAGGUCAAACAACUCGGACUUAGACCUGCUAAUCUUCAGCCUGGAAGCCCACUCAAACAGUUGCCACAAGAACCGUAGGUUUCGCACCUGCCUAUCUUCGGCUUCGCAGAAAAAGAUGGUAUCAUCAGCAUACUGAAUGAUGGCAAUCUUGUUUGCACUAGUUGAGCCUACCCCUCUUAGUAAGUUAUUGGAAACUGCUCUCGUCGUCAGUCUUGCCAACCCUUCUACCACCAGAAGGAAGAGAAAAGGAGACAAAGGAUCUCCCUAACGUAAUCCUCUACGUGUUUUGAUCUAUUUAGUAGGGGUCCCGUUGACUAGGAUAGCCACUUUAGCAUUGGAAGUGCAUUUCUCAAUCCAACCGCACCACAUCUGAUUAGCCCCUAGCCAUUGCAUGAUCUUUCGCAGAAAUUCCCAGUUCACUCUAUCAUAAGCCUUCUCAAAAUCACUUUUAAUACCAACGCUCUCCUCUCCCACAUGUGAGCUUCAGCUAACUACUUCACUAGCCAUAACGAAGGAGUCCAGUAUCAGUUAGCUUUUUAAGAAAGCGGCUUGAGUAGGGGAAAUAAUAUUUUUCAUAACGCCUUCGAGUCUAUUUGAAAGAACCUUAGAGAUGAUCUUGGAUACCCCGUUGAUGAGACUGAUUGGCCUAAAGUCACUAGCAGAAUUGGCAUCCUCUUUCUUGGGAACCAAACAAAUGUAAGCAUAGUCCAAAGGUCCAGGAUUAAAAUUGGUGUCAAACAACUCUUGAAAGAUAAUAUAGAGGUCGGCCUUAAUCACAUCCCAGAAUUUCUGGUAGAACCUUAGAUUAAACCCAUUCCGACCUGGAGCCUUGUCGCUAUCGAGCUGAAAGGUGGCUUUUCUGAUCUCCUCCUCGACGAACGGGGCCGUGAGCAGCUCCGAACUCAGGACCUAACUAUCACGAAAUAAAUCGCUCCAAUCUCCAAAAGUGGAGUUACUGGGGUUGUUCGGGGCGAAGACGUCUUUGAAUUUAGAAUAGAAAUAUUCCCUUUUCUCUUCCUCCCUAAAGAUUCUUCUACCGUCGUCCUCCACCAAGUCAAUAAAGUUUUGUCUUCUUCUUCCAUUCGCCACCGAGUGGAAAAAUUUAGUAUUGCCGUCCCCUUCUUUCAACCAAUGCUGCUUGGCUCUAGUCUUCCACAAAAUCUCCUCUUCUGCCACUAUAGUCAAUAGUUGUUUCUUGAGUUGUUUUCGCUUAUCCUGCUGUCGCGAGUCAAGGCGAAUGCGUUCCUCCAAAAUGUCUAGCUUUUGUAUCUCAGAUAUUUCUUUCUUCGUCUUCAUGAUACUGUGGAAAUUUGUUAAGCACCACUCCUUAAUCCUCUUGCGGCAAUGUCUUAAUUUGGCCGCAAAAGAGAGAAUGCCCGACCUUUGCCGCGGCACUUCGUUCCACCAGGUAGGCAUCAAAUUAUGACUGCCUCGGCACUUCGUUCCACCAGGUAGGCAUCAAAUUAUGCCCGACCUUUGCCGCAACUUUUACCUAUCAAAAUUUUGAUGACAACUGUUAAGUAUUGGUUCCUGGAUUAGGUUAAUUAUGACUGCCUCGGCGUUUAGUCAUGAAAAUCAUGGAAAGGCAGAAUAAUGAUGAUACUAGAAGCCUAAUGGACUGUUUAACAAGAGAAAAAUUUGAUACUUGGGUGGUACAUGUCACUUAACAGAAAAUGUUACCAUUUCUCUAUUUUGAUCAUCACUUGGCUUCCUUCCUUGGAUUGCUUUUACCUUUUAUGCCCAAAAUUGCUAUGUGCUAGACCUAGCAUAUUGUUUGGUUAUGGCCCCUCAUAAUAGGUUACAAUUCUAAUGCAAUUAAAGAAAUUCAGAUUUGAGCAGCUACUCAAGUCUGAAACAGGAACUAGUUGAUUCGAAAUUAGGUAUGUUUGAAUAUUGGACAAAAUAGCAGAUCAGGUACUAUAUUCAAAAUUAACUCUAACAUGGGCCAAAUUCAAAUUUUGUUGGUUUCUUUGGUGCUACUGAAUUAUGUAUUUUGCGUUGAUCUAAUUUUUCACUAUUGGCCGCUUCACAAAACUAUAAAAAUGGUUGAGGAACUGUAGUUGACUUAUUUAGCAAGGGCAAUCAUUCAUUAGUAAAAAUGAAUUUUCAUGCUAUUAAGCUAGUUUUUUUGUUAUUUUAGGUUAGGCAAAGUUGGCUAGCCUAUUGCCAAAGGAUAGGUUUUGAAUUUUUGAAGAAUAAUGUGUCUCUGGCCUGCUGAUGGUCAUGGUUUGAUGGGCUGCAAAUUUGAAAUCAUAGCUUAACAACUCUUCAGUUUAUUAUCAAGUCCUGUCAUUACCUAAUUUUAAUCCAUUAUUAUUCAAACUUGAAGUGCACAAACAACUUUUUUAGAGUAGACCCGCAUAUAGACAAUACAAAAAGAACAGUUUAUUUCUCAAUGUCUGUAGGAUGAGAAAGUGAAAGUCGAUAGUUGCACUUAUAGCACUUCCAUAGAAUAAUAGCAUUGUCGAUCAGGAAUUUUAACAGGAUCUGAGAGUGGGAUGAUCCUAAACUUUAUUAAUGAUUAUCUUGUUUGUCAACGAGUAACCCAUAUGUUUAGUGCCAUGGUCAACCAUUCAGCUAAGUUGGACAUGUGUUGCAAUGGCAACUGUUGUUCUUAUAGGAAAGUCGUCAAUCAUGAAGUUGAAAUUAAGAUUAAAGUCAAUAUUGUUUUUCUAUUUCUAUAAACUAUAGAUGGCAGGGGACAGUAAUCGACAAUUAUGUUAGAGUGCUUAGAAUUGGCCCACACAUUUAGGCCUUCGUAGUCGUAGAAGCUUUUUCCACUAGCGUUUCUUAUUCCUUGCUUAAAAAAUCAAUCACUUUUUACUUUUCCCAGUAAGGAGCUUUUAAACUUUCAAAAAAUUCUAUGCACAUUGGGGAAAGCAUAGAUUGUUUUAUUCUAGCUUCUGAAAGGAACUGAAGGUUUGAUGUCCUAUUUAUAUAUGUAUUUUUGGUUAGAAACUUUAAAUAAUUUUCCUUUGUUUUGAUGUGUUUAUGCCUUACAAUUCUAUGAUUUUAUUUAUUGGUUUUAACUAUCCAUGGUUUUAUUUAAUUACACUGUAAGAACUGUUUGAAGUAGGUUAGAACGGCAUGUGGCAACAUGGGCUUUAGCUUUAUGACAGUAUUGAUUUUUGCCUGUAUGUAUUUUAAAUUGGUUUUUAAUUUCAUGUGUAAUUUCUAGCCUAUCAUUGACGAGACUAAUUCUAGUAAUUUGCAUAUGCACUAAACCAUAUGGGCGUGGGGUGAUUUUUUUUUUUUUUUUUUCGGUUUCCGUGGGGUUGUCCUAUAUGCAUAGACCCGUUAUAAUAGUUAAUUGCAAAGUAUCAUGCUCUCAUCUUUCUAAAUAUUGGUGGUUUUGUUUUAUUGUAUUGGGUCCACCAUUAAUUUGGCAAUGGGAGAUUCUCUUUUUUUUUUUGCUCGUAGAGAAGGUUUAGGUGGUGGACACAAUGGGACAAUAUUUUGUAGGAAUUAGACAACUUGGAAUCGGUUCAACAAAAAACCCUGUCAAGGCACUUUUCUCUAGUGCACAAAGUGUUUACCUUACAAACACACCAACCAUUUUUCGCAUAUAUUGAGAUCGUUCAUAUUUUUUUGGCAUAAGCGCUUUAAUGUGCUUAAAAGCAGAGGGCGAGUGCUUGUCCUUUGACCUAUCGAUGGAGCCGCACCGUCCAAGAAAAGCUUGUCGUUCUUGAUCUUUUUGUAGAUUCACAAAAUUGGGGGGAUCCGGAGGUGUUCAGGGUUUUCUAUAAUCAACUUAACAGCACCAAAAACCGUCCAAAUUGUGUGCACAUCAUCCAUUAUAGUUAAUGACCCACUACUUUAGUGUCUCAAUGUGCACCGAUGUGGUGACUUGGAUCUCUAUUUUAGAGGGUUACUUUAGGAUUAAUUGCAUCAUUGGUCUCCAACCUUUUUACCUUUUUUUCACUUUGGUCCCAAUAUUUUUUUUUUUUUUUUUGCAAUUAAGUAUCCAAACCUUUUAUUUUAUUACAAUCAAGUUCUAGUCCUAAAGAAAAAGGCUAAAUUUGACGGAAUGCGCCAUGUUAGCCCCAGUUAAGCGCUUACGUGGCUUUUUUUGGGAGGUUAAUUUUGUUUGGAUUGGAAUUCAAAGUUUGAACAUGAACUUAUAAUUUGAAAUCAAAUUAUGAGUUAAAAUUCAAAAUUUAAUUUUAAACUAAAAUUAUGAAAUUUAAAAUUAAAUUAAAUUUGAAUUUGAAUUUAAAACUAUAAUUUUGAUUUAAAACUGGUGAGAAAUUUGAAUUGGAUUUGACUUUGAAAUUGAAUUUGAAUUUUAAUUUUGAUAUUUAGAAUUGAUAUAACACUAAAUUUGAAUUAAAAUUCAAUUUAAAUAUUAAUUUGAAUUUCUAUUUUAAUUUAAAAUCUAAAAUAUAUUUCAAAGUUUGAAUUGAAAAUUAGAAUUUGAAUUGGAAUCUGAAUUUGAAUUCAAAAUCCAAAUUUGAAAUUGAAAAUUGAAUUCAAAUUUUGGUUUUGAGUUUCAUAUUUAAAUUUAAAUUCUUACUUUGAAUUUCUGUUUUAAAUUCAAAUUCUAAAUUACAUUUUUAAAGUUGAACUUAAAAUCAGAAUUUAAAUUUGAAUUUGAAUUUUUGUAUUCAAAAUAUGAAUUUGAAAUUGAAAUUUGAGUUCAAAAUUUAAAUUGAAUUUAUUUGACUUGUAACUUUGCAUUCAAAAUUUUUAUUUCGAAAUUAAAAUUUGAAUUUUGAUAUUUCAUCAAUAUUGACUCUAAAUUUGAAUUCGAAUUCAAAAUCUGAAUUUGAAUUUUAUUUUUAAAAUUGAAUUUUAUUUUUAAAUUUGAAAAUUUAAAAUUUAAAACCUUAAUUUGAAUUUCUAUUUUAAAUUUAAAAUCUAAGUUACAUAUCAAAAUUCGAAUUUAAAAUCCAGAAUUUGAAUUUGAAUUUUUGAAUCUAAAAAUCUGAAUUUGAAAACAAAAAAAUCUAAUUCAAAUCUAUAUUUUAAUUUCAAAUUUAAAUUUAAAUUCUUCGUUUAAAUUUCUAUUUAAAUUCAAAAUCUAAAUUACUUUUCAAAUUUUGAAUUCAAAAUUUGAAUCUGAAUUUUUGAAUUCAAAAUCCGAAUGUGAAUUCUAUAUCUGAAUUUGAAAUUGAAAUUUGAAUUAAAAAUCUGAAUUUGAAUUUAAAAUCGAAGUAAAGAUCUGAAUUAGAAGUUUCAAUUUCAAAUUUGAAUUUGAAGAUCGAAUUCAAUUUCAAAUUUGAAUUUGAAAUUCAAAAUCAAAAAAUAAAAUUAAAAUUUUGAAUUUGAAUUCAGAAUUAAAAUUUUGCUUUGAAAUUCAAAUCUAAAAUCAAUUUUAAAUUUUAAAUUUGAACCAAAAUUAAAUUUGAAAUUUCAAAUUUAUAUUAAAAUUAGAAUUUAAAUUUGCAAUUUGAAUCCGAGAUAAAAAUUUAAAAUAAAAUUUAAAUUAGAAAAUCUAAAAUUUCAAAUUUAAUUCAAAAUAUAAUUUAAAUUUCAAAUUUGAAUUUAAAAUAUAAAUUUAAAAUCAAAUUUAAAGUAAAAUUGUUUAAUUAGCUGGCAUUGUUGGGUGUUUAGCUAGUGCUGACGCGGCACAUUCCAAUAAUUUAAAUGGGCGUUUCAAUGACUUUGAUCUAUUUAAAAUAAAAUGAAGAGUUUAGAGACUUGAUUGAGGGGAAAAAAAAAGAUUUUGGGGGCCAAAUGGAAAAAAGAUGCAUAAGUUGACCAACAAUUUGUCCAUUUCAGCCCUUUUCUUCUUAUUUUUGCAAUUAAGAUUUCUGACCUUCUGCAAUUUGUUUUUUUUUUAAGUUUCUUCUGUAAAAAAUUCUAUACAUCUUAACCCAAACUGCUAUGUUAGGACAAAGACCAAUUAACUUCAUAAUGUAGCCUUGCAAUGUAUUAUCUCUUAUUUUAGGAGUAAAAUCAGAAUAAUUUUAAAAGUAAAUGAGGUAGUUUACUUCUAAUUAAUUUCUGAAAAUGGGCCACCUAAAUUAACGACCACAUUAUUAAACUUGAUAUAUUAUUUGAACUUUCUAGAAAUUAAAUUUUCUGAUAUUAUGACUUCAUUUGUAUGGUGAUUAUGUGGUUUCAAAUUCAUUUUAUAUUAGUUAUUAAAAAUUAUCAAUUUUGAAACCUAUUAACUGUUAGGCAAAUAAUGUUGAAAAAUCAUAAAAUUUGAAUCUAAAAUGUUCAAAUACAAAGUUUAAUAGUGUUGAUUCGGUUGUGUCGUCAUCGAAAUUAAUGCAAAAAAAUACACGGCCUUAUUUGCUUUUAGAAAUAUUAUAAUGUUGCUCUAUAUUUUUCUUUUUGGGAAUCUCUCUACUAUUUUCAGGUUAGAAAAAAAUGUAUUAUAUACCAAAUUUAUGUUCGCCCAGUGGCUUAGUACUAUGGUUCCUUUUCUGGUGCUUUACAUAUGGAAGAUAAUGUUUUAGUGUUCCAAAUUUAGUCACUGUUGGACUUGAUUAUGGUAACUUUCAAUUGUGGCCACACUUCUGCUGAUAUCUACAAAGUAGGAUGCGUAUUCUGGACAUUACCGACCCAUAUGUCUCAAAAGCUAUCGGGCUUUUCCUUCUUUUCUUUUUCCCCUUUAAUCUUCGGGUCAAAUUAACAAUUAAAAAUGAGUUGGUUCCUACGUGGUGCCGACGUUGACUCCAUUUAUCCAUUGGAUAUAUCUAAAUGGUGUUUGAUUCACAUUCAUGCCACUCAAAAUUUCUAAUUACUUUUCUCAAGCAAGCAUCCAAUGUAAGAUUCUCUUUUGUACAUGGGCAGCACAGUUAGCAUAGUCGGUGCGAGCUUAUAGGCACGGACAGCAUAUGUCCAUUAUGUUAGGCUGAGCUAAUUGACACAAAAGUCUUGUUCUUUUUUUCUUGUUUACGCAUGUAUUUUUGCAUAGAUUUUUCUAAGUGUUGUUUGACAAUAAAGUAAAAGACAUUUCACAUUUAUGCUAUUCAAAAUUUCUAAUUUCUUUUCUCAAGCAAGGAUUGCGGUAUAAGGUUCUUUUUUAUUCGUGCACAAAUACAAAUACUGAUCAUGCUGUGUAGUGCUGACUGGCACAAAAAUAUUAUUAUUAAGUAUUUGCCUAUAUUAUUUUUGAAAAAAUUGAAGUAUUUUACUUGUCAUGCAAUUAAUCUUGUCUAGUCCAACUUAUCUCAAAACUAUCUUUAAUUGUAACCUUAUUAGGCUCAUCUUUCGCAGCCCUACUUCAGUUGUUUCCAACUUUUCUUUUGGGGAGAAAUUUCCAACCAUUCAUCUCAUCACUGAUUUGUUGCGCUUCUUCUGGGUAGUAUUUCUCUUCAUCAUUUUCCUAUCCUCUCUAUCAUUCUUCCAAAAUCAAUCAUAAUCCCCUAUUCCUCUUAUUUUGCAUCGCUUCAUCCAAAUUCAUUCUAAAGUUAAAAAGUACAAAAUGAAAAGCAGGGGUUGCAAAUAUAGUUAAGAGGAAGAAGAUGACAAUGGAACUAAGGCUGGAACUUUGUUCCUCUUUCACGGGGUGAGACAUCGUAGGGACUGGAGGUUCUGGUGAUGCUCUUCUUUCUAUUUAUUAUUCUCUUUUAGAUAGGAGUAUAUAUUUAGGAGAUGAUAAAGAAAUUUGCUUCGUUCUUUAGCUAAUCCGUCGAGUGGAAAUGCAUUUGAGGGCCAUUACAACUUUCAUGUUAAUCUAAACUUCUGUUGUAUAGUUGGCCAUGAUUCAGAUAUCAAUCCUUGCAGAUAGAUGCACACGUAGUGAUGAGUGGAUAUACACCUCGUACAUCUCUCAUAGAUUGUACCAAAAAAAAAAGAGGAAAAAAAAAUUGGGUGAUGUAAAGUGAAAGGGCUCAAAUCUUUUUUUUUCCUGAAUGGAAGGCCAAACAUAUGAUACAAUCAUGCUUUUAAUUUGUGAACUCAAGUAUUUUGUUCUAAUUGCAGCUAUAGGAAGCUAUUGAAUUGGCGGCAACUGUCGGCGUUGCCCACUGAAUUUUAAAUAUUCAUUUACACCUACCCUCAACGUCUAUACCCAAUAAGCUCUUACUUGUGCAUAUAUAUAGGGUGCCAACCACUGCUUUGAUGCUACAUUCUUCAGUACUGAACUUCAGCAAUAGCCUCCUAACUGAACUGAAGCAGGAGAUAUAUAUGGCGUGUUUGAGAGCCAAGCACAUAUUUUUCCUCAUCUUGCUUCUAUCACUUUGUUUUUCGACAGCCCGAUUGUUGGACCGCAAGGAGCUCAUGAAUGCGUCUGAAGAGUCGGAGGCCGGCCUGACGACGACGGUCUUCAGAGGACGGUCUGGAGGAGAAGACACGGCUGACAGCAUCUACGAUUCCAAGCGGCUGAGCCCCGGCGGCCCAGAUCCUCAGCACCAUUCCAUGGGUCCCUACUCAUAUGCAGUUUCGGUUCACAGUAGACCAUGAAAAAUUCGUGUUUUCGUAUUGCCAUUGCGUCCUUGUAAUUGGUAGUCCCAUUUGACUCCGGCAAUAUAAUGAACUUUCUUCUGGUUUCGAUUCACUGUAAGGAAUUGGGAUUCGCUGUGGCAUAAUAAUUUUCAUGUUGAUGGUUCCACGAAAGCUCUAGUUCCAUUGUCUCUUAUCCUUUGUAUUGGUCGUCUUAUGUUUCUGUAGUCGGUUUCUAUUACGAAGAUCGAAUUCGCCUGGGUUUUGAGUAAAGGUGCCUUCAUUCCAGUGUUUCGUUUUGUUCUUACUUCAAACGAGAAACAACAAAAGAACGAAUUCGAUUUUGAUUUCACUACGACUCUCUAAGCAGCAACGAGAAUAAAUACGUUUAUUAAGGCUUCCCCAGCUUUUCCCCAUCUGGCUUUACUGUUAAACCGCCGCCAUUAGCAUAACAUAGAAAAGGCCCACGUAAAACCAGUGCUCAAAUACACGUAUAUUCUCGCAAACUAUGAAUAGUUGUACAGUAUCAUAAACACUACGUUUACUUUUUUUUUUUUUUUUUUUGAGAAUAGGUAGCUCGCUACAUGCUUCAUUCAUUGAUGGAUGAACUAGGCUACAGAGGUGAGGCAACUAGGGCCUCGGAAAAAACCAAAAAACAACUAGGGCCUCNAAAAAAAAAAAAAAAAAAAAAAAAAAAAAACCAGAAGGUACACGUGGUCUAAUGCCAUCAGAGGAGGAUUUCCCACGAAAGUAACAACUGCUUUAUCCUCUGUACAGCCAAAAUCGGAUCUAGUAGGAUGUUUCGAAAAAUCAGAUCAUUUAUGAUCUUUCAAAUGGUUCGCCAACAAGCAAUCAGUUCCGGGAGUCUGUUGCUCUUGUUAUACCGUCCUUUGCUGGUCGCCCACCUAUCCCAGACAUGAUACAUGUCGUCACCUAGCUUACCCCCUUGCACGCCCUCCACCCCCAUGACCAUGAUGAACUUGGUAAAAACAGAUGGUCCACUGACUCAUCAUGGGCAAUGCAAAGCACACAAAGUGUGUUGCCAGUCCACCCUCUCUUUACAAGGUUAUCAGCUAUGAGAGGCUUUUUCUUUAGGACAAUCCAGGAAAAUACUUUGACCUUUAGAGGUAUUCGGAGGCUCCAAAUCUUGGUAGCCCGUCCGUCCCUCGUUCCCCCGUCACUCAACAUGCCGUAGGCCGAUUUGACUGAAAAAUCGCCUUUGGCUCUCCAUCUCCACCAUAACCUAUCCGGUCUCUGCGCGACUUUAUACAUACCAAUCUCAUUCUUGAGAGCCAACAGGUUGGCUGACAGCCCUGUUGUAGAAGCGAACUCAUCGCCCAGAAUUCUAUCCCAUCUCCAGUCCUCACUAUCGAAACAAUCCCCAACCAAUAGGGGUUUACGAUUCGUCAUCGCAUAUAUCUCCGGAAAUGACGUUUCAGAGCGGAUUCCCCGCACCAUCGAUUAGACCAAAAGUCUAUAGAGCUCCCAUUGCCCAAUUUAUAGGAUAUUCCCCAAUUGAAGAUAGCAUUGGUGGUUAGGACUCCCUUCCACCAAAACGAGAAGGGUCUAAAACUUUUUCCUUCCUUUAGAGGUCGUCUUCUUUGGUAAUAUAAAGCUCGGAUAAUCUUGACCCACUGCAGGUGUGGAACUGUGUGAAAUCUCCACCGCCAUUUGACCAGGAGAGCCCGAUUCAUGAUAUCGACAUCCAGAAUACCAAGCCCGCCUUCGAUUUUGCUCACACAGACGUUCUUCCAUGCCACUAAACAUCCCUUGCCAGUGGAAUUCCUAUUACCCUUCCAGAAGAAGUCUCUACGUAUGGCUUCAAUACUCUUAAUUACCCAUUUAGGCAUCUUAAAAACCGAAAGAAAGUACAGCAGUAGAUUGGUAAGAACGGCAUUGACCAAGAUGAGUCUACCCCCUCGUGAUAGAAGCUUGGCUUGCCAUCCAUCAAUUCCAUUCAGCAAUUUCUGAAUGAUCCCUCUCCAUACCUCCUUUGUGGGGGGUUUAGGGGAAAGAGGGAUGCCUAGGUAAGUGGUAGGGAGAGUACCCACUCUACAGUCGAGCAGCUGCACGAGCCUUUCCGCUUUGCCCUCAUUCUGUCCAAGGUAGUAUAGUUCGGACUUCUCACUAUUAAUUUUCAUCCUCGAAGCCCACUAAAAAAGACACCACAUCAAGCUGAGAUUUCGCAUAUAUUUUUUCCUAGCCUCCGAGAAGAAGAAGGUAUUGUCCGUGAAUUGGGUGAGGAUAGUUUUACUUUCGUCAGACGGCCCAAUACCCAUGAAGAGGUUAUUAGAAGUGGCCUCAUUGGUCAUUCUGGCCAAGCACUCCGCCACCAUGAGGAACAGGAGUGGUGAUAACGGAUCUCCUUGGCGAACUCCUCUCUUCAUCUUAAUCCACUUGGUCGCCUCACCAUUGACCAAUAUGGCUACUUUCGCAUUGCACACACAUUGCUCGAUCCAUUCACACCAUUUUAAAUCAAAUCCCCACCACUGGAGGACAUUGAAAAGAAAGGGCCAGUGUAUCCUAUCGUAAGCUUUUUCGAAGUCUACUUUUAUACCGACCCCCUCGAUUUUCUUCUUACUACCCUACCCCAGGAUUUCCGAAACAGUAACGAAAGCAUCAGUGAUGCUCCUCCCUUUCACAAAUGCUGAUUGAGUGGGGGAAAUUAGGUCACUCAGAACCCCUGCGAGUCGAUUGGCUAAAACCUUCGACAGUAUUUUCUGGAUGCCGUUGAGGAGGCUAAUUGGUCGAAAGUCAUUCGCUCUCUCGGCCCCUUCCUUCUUCGGGAUUAGGCAGAUAAAGGUAUAGUCGAUUGGUGACGUAGACAUCGUACCCUCGUAGAAUUCCUAGAACAGGUUGAGUAAAUCACUCUUAAUGGCAUCCCAAAAGAUUUGGUAAAACCUUAGUGGGAACCCAUCCGGGUCCGGAGCUUUAUCACUUCCCAGUUGGAAAACCGCUUUCUUUAUUUCACUAAUGCUGAAGUGUUCUGUUAGCCUCCUGAGCAUAGGAGCCGAAACCCGCUUUGUGGAAAAAAACCCACUCCAAUCCCCGAAAGCAGCCGACGUCGUCACGUCUGGCGAGCAAAGCUCUUUAAAUUUAAGAUAAAAGUAAUCCUUUUUGUCCUUCUCUGUUUGGUAUACGAGUCCGUUAUCGACAACCACCCCAAUCCCGUUGGCUCUUCUUCUUCCAUUAGCUAUACUAUGGAAGUAUUUAGUGUUGGCCUCGCCCUCCCGUAACCAGUGCUGAUUAGCCCGGGAUCUCCACAGGGAAGCUUCAUCGUUAAUAACACGUCUUAAUUUCUCUUUUAACUCGUCUCUUUUCGUGAUCAAUUAUGUUGGUAAUACACCUUGUUUCUCAGCAAGGUCUAUCUCUUGUAUUUCACCCAUUAGGGAAUUUUUUAGCCCUCUAAUACUGUAGAACUCGUUAUUGCACCAUUCUUUAAUAUACUUUUUAUCGAAGAGAAAUGUUAUGUUUACCUCUAUAGUAUAAGUGUAAUAUUUACACUCUUGGCUUUCUAUGACUAGAAUUAACUCAUUAGGUACGUGAGGGUUUAUGAUUUACAGCUUUAUGCGUCAUGCACAGGUAGCAUUUUUCUUUAGAGUAUCACAUUCCAUGAUUCCCUCUUCCACUAUCAAGGAGAGUGCUCUGCAUCAUGCUCCCAUGCAUGCAUGGAUCGCAUUAUCUUCAUCUAUAAUAUACUCGGAGCCUGAUCUCCUAUAGACUAGUAAAAACUCAUUAACACAUAAAUAAAGUGCGUUUUUUGCAUAAUCAAUCCUAAGGAACUUUGUUACCAAGCUCAUUUGUUUAUACGCGCGUUUCAAGUUCACUAGCCGUUAGAGUUCGGUACUGAAAAAGGGUUCAUUAUUCAAAUACUUUUUAGUGGUCACAACACUCUUAAAUAUAAUUUAUACCAAGUUAGUUGGCUUUUCAUAGAUGAUAAGACUCUGUUUGGGAUGAUAGGAAGAUUGUGUUACGUACAGUAAAAAAAUACUCUAUUUAUUUUAGUUCUACGAUCCUACCAAAAAGCAGAAAAAUAUAUUUCUAUAUACUUUCGUCUCAACUCUGUUUUGCAUACCAGCAUUAGAUGGGCCUAAAUACUAAAUGAGCCCGAAGAUUUAACUAGCAACUAAGCACUUUCUUAACGAUGCUUUGGUGACGUACAAAAGGCGAUAAGUACUAAGAAAAGUUCUAUAGAAAAGCCUAAUAAGCUCCAAAUUUUCGCUUGUCAUAGGUUGGACUCACACUUUUGGUUGGUAUGUGUUGUAAGAGUUGCAACCUUUUUCUUUUUCUUUUUUUUUCUGGCUAAUUAAGUUAAGCCAAGUUGGCUUACAUUAAUACACCAAAAUAGAAGAGAAAGUGAAAACGUCUUUGCGUUCGUGUAAAUCCUCGCACAUUGGUUCUUUAGAUUUUGGGACCACCUUAGUUUACAUCAAAAGUAUCCAAUCUUUUCUCUUUUCAAUUUAACUGUAACUAAAAUGCAGUGCACAAAUUAUAAAGGUGGAGAGUUAUCAUCUGCAUCCAUAUAUAUAUAUACAUCUUGUGCACCGCACUUUGUAUUUGAUUAUCAAUUGUCUAUGAAAUUUAUAUUCGGACAAUUUAAGUUGACUACUAUUAGCUAGUCAAAAGCUAAAAAAUAAUAAUAAAGAAUGCAUGGUGGUGAUAUAUAGAUGAAUCUUACUAUUGAUGCCAAAAUAUUAUUUUGUAAUUAAAAUAAACCUCCCACUACAACAAAAACGGUCUAUAGUGACACUUUUAAAUAUAGGUACAUGUCAAAAAAGUGCUGCUAGCUAAAAUUACCGAUACUUUUAAAAAGUGUUGCUAUAUAUGGGGUCGCUAGGUAUAUAGUGACAGUUAAAGAGUAUCGCUAUAAUCUAAAAGAGUGUUGCUAAUUUACCAACACUUAUUUAAGUAUUUAGCAACCGCCGAAACUCUAUCUCGUUGGUUGCGGUGGCAAAGGAGGACGACAGUAAAGACUCUUCGUCUAGAAUUUCAGUGGAUUAAGUGAAGAGAGAAGAAAAGAUGGUAAUUGGUUUUUCUUUUUUUUUUUUCUGUUUGUAAUCGGACCAAAUGGACUGGAUGUGGUGGGUUGAAUAGAGUAAUCUUUUAUUUUUGGUUGGAUUGGGCUUUAUAUUUAGACAUUAGUAGAUGUGUUUUUAAGUUUUAGCAUAAAUGGGACACUUACUCAAAAGUGUCCUAAACAUGUGUCCCUAUAAUCUAAUUCUAUUGUAGUGUCCUUUACUGCAAUGAUUCAGUAAAGAACCAUUCAAUAAUUUUUAUACUUUGAAAUUUGGAUGUAUUAUUUAUUUUUGAGUAC
rnacentral:lncRNA from 1 species